UUAGUCUAUAUAAGAACACAGAAUGGCACCAAAUUUUGCAGUGAAGAUCAAUCUAAUAAGUUGAAAGCAAAGACCAAUAUAGAAAAAAAAAAAAAAAAAAUGUCUCUAAAAUGGGUUAUGGUAUUUGCAAUUGCAAUGGUGCUUCUCACUGCUGAGACUGCAACAGAGGCUCACCGGCCAACGCUAACUCCAAAUGAUCCGGAAAUGAAGUCGAUGGUGGGUCAUGCUGGUGACAAGACCAUUCCUGCCCAUGGAGGAAAAGGGUGCAAGAAAGGCCCGCAUUCCAAUUGCAAGGAACACCAUGGCUGAGUCAGAAGGGUCUUUCUCUGACGAGAUAAGGCCGUGCUGUUGGGGAGAACUAAAUAAAACUACUGCGUUCAAAAAGCCUAUAUUGGCUGCCCUCAAAGAUUAUCCAUGGUUUCAAAAUAUUGUAAUCUAAUGUUUGUGUGUUGAUGUUGGUGUCUUUGUAAUAUGGUUGUUUGUUGUGAGAUCUAAUAUCUAUAUAAAUGCUUUUCUUUUGUAUUCCGCAAUUCUAGCAAGAUCUUUAGCUUAACUCCUGAGCUUUUUCUCUCUCUCUCUCUCCAGAAUUUGCCAAUGGUAACAUUAGACUAUGAAAAAAGUACACCAAUGGUUAUAAAAACGCUUCAAGAAAGAAGUGUACAAAAUGAAUGAUUAUCUAACCAUGAGCCAAGCAAGUCCAUGGUUGACCAAAUCCUACCAGGACCAAUAUGAGGUGGGCCAACCAUUUGAGAAUGCUUUGGAUGAGACUGACAUAUACACUUGGUUGGUCCACUCCAUUAGGAGAAUAAGUUUAACUUAAGCAUUAAAUUGUGGGUAAAAUGCUCAAUACAUCAGUAUUGUACGGUUUCUUUUUUUCACGCAGACGUUGAUCACCUUCUGUAAACCAUAUCCUUCAGGUCAUGUGAAGUAGACUAAUUUUACAAAACCAACCAAAUAUUGAUCUAAAUAGUUUGUGGUAUAUAUUUUUCAUCUGAACUACUUACUGCAAAUUAAAUCCUAAUACAAAUUUUGGAAUAAAGUAUAAACUACCACGACCCUAUAGAUUCAUUAUAAUAUCGGCCUAUACUAUAGACUUCAACAAAGAUAUGUAAUAUAAACCAAAUUUUAUCAUUUUGUAUAGAUUAUUGUUUUCUAUCUUAAGAAUAAAAUAUUUUUCCUUUUAUUUAUUUUAUUAUUAUUAUGAUGGACUACUUUCACGUUAGAAAAAUUGCAUCAAAUGACAAAAAAAUUAGAAAAAAACAGCUCAUGACACAUAUUUUUUGCAUUAUGACAAAAUUAGUGAUAUUAGGCGGCUAUCAAACAGUAAUCAUAAGACUAUCAGACGUUAUUACAGGGUUAUGAUCAGCUGUUAAAUUUAUUAUUUUUGCAAUUUAGAAAAUGUAGUGACAUGAACUCUAUUAUCAUAAAUGUUUUGCUACUUUUGUAAGAGCCCCUCCAAAUAAUGUAAAAUGGUCCAAAAUAAUUACAAAAUAAUAUAAAAUUUUAGUAUUAUGAUAGAGACCGAUAUACUCAUGUUUGUAAGAUUAGAAAAAUAGGAGUGAAGACUAAAAUAUGGUUGAUAACACAAUUUUGAUGAAUUCAAAAUAUUAGAAAACUCAAACCCAUAUAUAUCAUCUAAUUUGGAUAAUCUCAAGCAAUAUGAAUAGAAGAAAAGCUACUUUGUGUUUUAUAUCAUAAAUUACAAUUGUGUCAUCAUGUUAUUAGCACUCUUAUUUAUUUAUUUGUUUCUUCUCUCUUUAUAGUCUUUAUUGGGUUUUGUUGCUAAAAAAUCACUAUCUUCAUCACAUAUAUGCAAACCUGUUUCGCCCUCAUUUAUCAAUAGAAAGUGAGCAUGCAUUGAAUACUUGACACUUAUGAGUGCCACUAAUGCCUCUCACAAUAUACUAAAUUCAUUUUCUUUCUUAGUACACAAUUAAAGCAUAGACUUUUACAAACUUAUAUUUAUUAUCUGCUGAGUUAUAAAUUUUGGGAAGCCUUUAAAUUGUGAAGCUUCUCCCAAGCAACGAAUGUGUGUGCAUUGAACUUUCUAUUCGAAAAAACAAAAAAAUAAAUUACUCUACUGGAUAAAAGAAGAAGAGUUUGUUGGAUAUUUGUCCAAACAAAAAUAAUAAGAUUUUUUUAUUAAGUUAUUUUUUAAAUAAAUGAUUCUAUUUAAAGAUAAGAAUAUUAUUUAGAGAUAAAAGAUUUUCUUUCGUAAUAAUAAUAAUCUUUGCAUUAAGAAGUUACAGACAUGUAUUAUUGUGAUUUUUAAAUAGCUAAGUUAUUGGCUUAGUUCAGCGUGCGCGUUGAUGGAAAAUGGACUUCGAAAAAGUUCUCUCUUUAAGAAUUAUUAUUUGUGAAGGUAGUCAAAUUACCAUUUUUAUGAAGAUGAAUUACUGGAAUUCUGCAAGUAGUUUUUACACUGCAACUAUUGAUAAGAAAUAUGAAAGAAGACUGAAAUAGUUGAACUGUAGUCCAUGAGUUUAGAGAAAGCCUGAGUUUAUCUUCAAGAAGAUUCAAACAUAAAUUCAGGAGAAGUCCGUACUUGAUUAAGUUUUUUGCUCAUUUGAAUCUUAAUAAUAUUUUUAUAUGAGGUAAGAAGCUCCCUAGACGUAGAUGGUAUUCAUCGAACUAGGUUAACAAAGUCUUCUGUGUUAUUAUUAUUAUUAUUUUGUUUCUUUAGCUAUUUUUUCAAUUAAUUAUUUUUGAUAUUGCUAGAUGAUAUUUUGAUGGCAUCACAUUUAUUUUAAGUUAGUUUCCAAAAUAUGAUUGAAACGUAGAGAGUGGACAAAAUUUAGAAAGUUACAAUAAAUAAAAAGAAAUUAUUGUAAAUGGUAAAAAUACUAAAAAUAUUUACAAAAUAUAAAAAGUUUCAAAUUAUAGAAAAUAUAAAAAUUUCAUUCCAUCCGGGAUAGAAUUUUAAAUUUUGUUUUAAUUAAUUUGUAAAUGUUUUCAUUCAUUAGAGUAUAUUUAGAAAGGCUCCUGUAGAUAAUAAAAUGUCGUGAAAUCAAGUAGUACAUCAACCAAAAUGAAAAUGCAUUGCACUUAUAUAUUAAAUUGUUAAAAAUUACUUUCUAAAACAUGAACAAGAAGAAUAAUUAAGUAUACACUACAUAGUCAUGUAUAUAUACAAUUCCUGCCAAACAAUUAAUUAGAGGGUUGUUAGGAUAGUUCUUUUUGUUUUUUUAAUAGAACAAGUAGUUGGUCCAAAUAAAAAUAUUGGUAAAAAAGAAAAAGGCAUUAGCAGUUACACCCAUAUUAGUGUAUAUCAGAACACAAAAUUGCACCAAAUUUUGCAGUGAGGAUCAAUCUAAUAAGUUGAAAGCAUAGACUAAUAGAGCAAAAAAAAAAAGUCUCUAAAAUGGGUUAUGGUAUUUGCAAUUGCAAUGGUGCUUCUCACUGCUGAGACUGCAACAGAGGCUCACCGGCCAACGCUGACUCAAAAUGAUCCGAAAAUGAAUUCGUUGGUGGGUGAAUCAUAAUCGUGACAAAAUUACCAAUCCUUCCCAUGGAGGAAAAGGGUGCAAGAAAGGCCCACAUUCCAACUGCAAGCAACACCAUGGCUGACUCAGAAGGGCCUUUUUCUGACGAGAUUAGGCCAUGCUGUUGGGGAGAACUAAAUAAAACUACUGCAUGCAAAAGCCUAUAUUGGCUUCCCUCAAAUAUUAUCCAUGGUUUCUGAAUAUUGUAAUCUAAUGUUUGUGUGUUGAAGUUGGCGUCUUUAUAAUAUGGUUGUUUGUUGUGAGAUCUAAUAUCUAUAUAUGCUUUUCUUUUGUUUUUGGCAAUUCUAGCAAGAUCUUUAGCUUACCUCCUGACCUUCUUUUUUUUCUCUCUCCAAAAUUUGCUAAUGGUAACUUCAGACCAUGAAAGUACACACUAACUGUUCUGUAGAACACUGUUCUGACAACUUGUUAGUACUCAAGUAUUUCUACAUUUCCAGUUACUUACAACUAAUUAUUAAAUGUCUAACCAAAAAGCUUCUUGCUUUAAUUUGGAUAAUCUCAAGCUAUAUGAAUAGAGGAAAAGCUACUUUAGUGUUUUAUAUCAUAAUUAUUAUUACAAUUGUGUCAUCAUGUAAUUAGCACUCUUAUUUUUUUAUUUCUUCUCUUUAUAGCCUUUAUUGGGUUUUGUUGCUAAAGAUAUCACCAUCUUCAUCACAUAUAUGCAAACCUGUUUCUCCCUCAUUUAUCAAUAAAAAAAAGUAAGCAUACAUUGAACAAUUUUCACUUAUGAGUGCCAAUGAUGCCUUUCACAAUAUAUUAAAUUUAUUUUCUUUCUUAGUGCACAAUCAAAGUAUAGAGUUUUACAACCACAAUCAAACUAUAGAAUUUUACACACUUAUAUGUAUAUAUUACCAGUUGAGUUGUAUUUUCUUUAGAAUUAAUAUAAAAAAAAUUAUCUCAAAUAUUGAAAGGGUGUUUGGACCCCAGAUUUGAAAGAAGUGGAGUCGACUAAAUCCUUGUCUGGAAAAACUUAGUAUUAGGGUUUCAAUCAUUCCCGCAUACAUUUUCCAACUCCGUCCCCUAAUACUUCUCACUCCCUCUCACUCCUUUGUGAUUUUCAGUGUAAUCCUUCCUCUUCACUCCGCGUAAUCCAUCUCACUUCUUCCUCCCUUAUCGUGUUCCUUCUCUUUUUCCAUCUUUCUGUUAUCAUCCCUCUUCGAAUCUCAUAUCCGUGUUUACUUUUCGUUUUCCUCUUGAAACCAUUUUUCUUCUCCCUUUUUGGUUUUGUAAAUAAGGUCUAUUUUUGUAGCCAUUAAUGGUUGGGUUUCCACCCCUUGCCUUUAGAAGUCUUCCUCUUGCAUGUCCGAAGAGACUACUCAGUGAACAUGCAAGGAUCUCUUCCUUAUCCCUCCGAGUUUUCCAUGUCGCUCUGACGACUUGUGUACCGAAACGGCUGUGAACAGAGAGAUGCUACUUAUAUUGUGGGAUCCAAAGAAUGGUAGGGACAUCAGCAUUGGAGCACGAUAGGGGUGUUGUCAGUUCUUAUCGGGUUUAUAUCUCAAACAUGCCUUUAUAGUCAAUGAUAAGUGUAAUCUAGAGUUCAGAGAAGUAUAUUUCUUAUUCAUAUUGAGUCAAAGGAACGUUACAUAUAUUUAUAUAGAGAAUAAAAUAAACCCUAGACACUAUGUACAAUUACAAUAAAGGACGUAUGAUAUAUAUAUAUAUAUAUAUAUCAUAACAAUAAGGUCCUCUUCUGAAUUAUCUUAUUCAUUUUUUUGUGUUUCUUUUUCAUGUAGUAUGUUCAAAAUGUUGCUUAUGUGAUUCGUUCUGAAAAUAUGUUUAAAAUGUUGCUUAUGUCACCUUGAGGAGCACCAAUACUGUUUGUGAAGAAGAAAGAUGGGUCGAUGCAUCUUUGCAUUAACUAUAGAGAGCUUAAUAAGGUAACAGCCAAGAACAUAUAUUUGUUUCCCAGAAUUGAUGAUUUACGUUCAGGGUAUCACCAAUUGAGGAUUAGAGACAAUGAUCUUCCUAAGAUCGCUUUUCAUUCUAUAUAUAACCGUUAUGAGUUAAUUGUGAUGUCUAUUAGUUUGACGAAUACUCCUGUUGUAUUCAUGGAUUUGAUGUACAGAGUGUUUAAGGAUUUUUUAGACACUUUUGUGAUAACUUUUAUUGAUGGUAUCUUGGUUUACUCCAAGAUAGAGGUUGGGCAUGAGAAGCAUUUGUAUUGGGUUUUGGAGACUUUUCGAGCCAAUAAGCUAUAUGCUAAGUUUACAAAGUGUGAGUUCUACCUGAAGCAGGUGUCUUUUCUUGGCCAUGUAAUAUCCAAUGAGGAAGUUUCUUUGGACUCAGGAAAGAUUGAAGUUGUUACCAAUUAGCCUCGUCCUUUUGUAGUCAGUGAAGUUUGAAAUUUUUUGGGUUUAGCAGGUUACUACAGAAGAUUCGUGGAAGGUUUCUCUUGUAUAGCCAGUCUCUCAACUUAGUUGACCAAGAAAGGGACUCCUUUUGUUUGAAGCUCAACAUGUGAGAGCAGUUUCCAAGAUCAUAAGUAGAAACUUGUUACUGCAUCAGUCCUUAUAAUGCCAGAUGGAUCUGGAAGUUAUAUGAUUUAUAGCGAUGCUCCUCGAAGAAGGGAUUGAGUUGUGUUUUGAUGCAGCAAGGUAAAGUGGUUGCUUAUGCCUCCCGACAGUUGAAGAUGUUUGGAUUUAUGUCAUAAAAAUCGUAGAUUGUAAAUAUAAUUCAUUGACCGUUAUUAAUAAAGUGUUAUUAUUGUAAUGAAUGUUAUUGAUUAUAUUAUUAGUUUUGUCUUAAUAACUCAAAUCCAAUAACCUAACAUCCUAAGUUGUUUGAUGAGUCUUGAAAAGUAUGUAGAGACAUACAGGAAUCAAUGUUCGAGAUCAGCUUAAAGGGUCUAUAGUAUAGGGAUAAGACUGAGUACCUUAUCUUGGUAACGCUAUGGAUACGACUCACUUUGUAUUUGAUACAAAUGCAAUGAUCCAACAUGGAGAAGAUGAAGAUGUAGAUGUGUUGCAGUCCAGAGGAUCAUUAUCAUCAUCUUCAAUGUGUUGUUGCCAAGAGAAUCAUCAUCUUCAUCUUCGAUGUGUUGCAUCCGAGAGGAUUAUAAUCUUCAUCUUCGAUGUGUUGCAACCAAGAAAAUCAUCAUCUUCAUCUUCGAUGUGUUGCAACCGAGAAAAUCAUCAUCUUCGUCUUCAUCUUCAAUGUGUUACAACCAAGAGGAUCAUCAUCUUCAUUUUUAAUGUGUUGCACCCAUGAGAAUCAUCAUCUUCAUCUUUAAUGUGUUGCAGCACAAGAACCAUCAUCUUCAUCUUCAACUUGUUGCAGCCAAGAAGCCGAACAAACAAAAAAGUAGGACAUGGAGGAAACCAAACCAAGAUACAUGCUUGCAUGGGGCCUUCAAGGAAUAGCGGGAAAAAAAGUCAAAGUCAAGUUAUGUGUAAGAAAAUUUAUUAUAAGAUAAAGAAAAGAAAAGAAAAGAAAUUUUUUAAAAAAAUUUAGGUUAAAAGAAAAGGUAGUACAAAAUGGUUAAAAAAAUAAAUGAAAAAAAUUAAAGAAACAAGAAAAGAAAAAAAGGCAGACAAAAAGUAAUUAAAAUGAAAAGAAAAAGAAAGAAAGAGAAAAACAAAACAAAAAAAACAAAAACAAAAAACGAAAAUAAAAGAAAAUAAAAGAAAAAUAGAAAAGAAAAAGGGACACUUGCAAAAAUAACAAAAAAAUAAUAUUAAUAAUAGGGUCCAUGUCACUACGUUUUCUAUAUUGCAAAAUUAGCAAAUUUAAAAGUUGAUAACCCUCUGAUAGCCCUCUCAUAAUCCUUAGAUAGCAUUCUAAUAGUUGUUUCAUAGCCGUUUAAUAGCACUAAUUAUUUGUCAUAUUUGUCAUAUUCGUAAGAUGGAAAAAGAGGUGUUAUAGCUUAUUUUUUCUAAAUGUUUUUGUCAUAUGUUGCAAUUUUUUAAGGAAGAACGAGAAAAAUGAAGGAAAAGGAAAAAAGAAAAAAACUCUUUCAUAAUUUUUUUUUAAAAUAAAUUCUAUCUUUAUCUUUUCUUUUCUCCAGCUCGACCCUCUUUCACUUUUUUUUCCUCCCCCUCUCCAUCAGCCCCCUCUAUCUCUCCCGCGACCAAAAAGAAAAACAUAAAAAUGAACCCCAUUUUCACACUAUGUUCUCCCAAAUAGGUAAGGAAGCAAACGAUGAAGCAAAAAUAAAAAGAAAAAAAGUUAGAGGAGCCAAAUACAUAAGUAUCAACAAACGUGUUUGAUUGUCGAGAUUACCUAAUCUUUUACUUUAGUUUUUAAAAAAAUAACAAAUUAAAUAAAUAAAUAAAUAAAAUUGCUUUAAUUUUUUUUUCUAAUUAAAUCCAUGAUCGAAGAAAAAAUAUUGGAGAAUUAAAAAAAAAUUCACAAUUCAUUUUGUUUUUCUAUUGUUGCAAAAAAAAAAAAAAAAAAAACUUUAUCCAAUUCAUAAAUUCAUUUCAAAUUUAAAUUGAGUAAAAAGAGAAGGGGCGAACUUUUUAAAUUCUAAGUUUGAGGCUAAUUCAGGUUUAAGCUGCACAAAUUUUACUAAAAAUUCAAAUUAGAAAAUUAUGAAAAGAAAGAAAAAACUUUAACUUAAAUUCAUGAAUGAGCAAUAUUCCAAUUUCAUCAAUUUUAUAAGUCUCAAUCUCCCAACUAAAUUUAUCGUGAAUUAAAUUCAAAAUUUACUAAACUUUAUAUCAUUUAGUCACAGCUAUGUCCAAGUGCGUAGUCUGAUUAAUUUUGCAUAUUAACUUGAGUCAAAGUCAAUAACAAAUCAUUUCUAGUUUUUGUUUCACCUUAUCGUUUUUUAGAUUCACCCAUCCAUGAAAUUUCGACCAAUUAAAUUCUGCGGCGUUAUCACAACAAGCAUUACGAUAGUUAUAAUUUGAUUGAGUUUGGGUAAUUAACUUUUCUCAUACACAAUCCAAUUCAAAACCUAAAUAUAAAAAUUGAGUCAACCAAGCAAAUGAGCCCAAGCCCAAGCCCAAUGACAAAGCGCCAUCUAAAACCCACGAAAAUUCUCUAUAAAUAGAGACCAUUCCACAUUUUUAGGAUCUUUGGGAGUAGGAGGAAUUGAAGCUUUGAAUAUUGUACCUCUAAAGAAUUGAAAAAGUUAUUAAGACGUAUAAGUUAUUAUCAAUCUCGAGAUUAUCAUCUUCUAAAAGAUUGAAAAAUUGGAAGGUUAAAACUUUUCUGGAAUUCUAGUAGAUCGAAGCUCAAAUAGACUUGCAACUAUAACUUCGUAUUAACUUUUCUGGAGAAGUUCUAAGUUUUAACUUUUAUUCUAAAGAAAGCAUCAAAUGAAUAAAUACUAGAGAUUGUAUUCAUUAUAUAAAUCAAUAUACAAAGUUCAAUUCUACGAAAUACAGUCAUGUAAAAAAAUGUGGCGUGAACAUAUCCUAUAAAAAUCUCUAAUUUAUAAUUUCAUAACAACAUGAUUUGUUUGCUGAUGGAUGAGACCAACUUCACUUUUUGUUACCUAAAUAUUUUCACUCGUAUUUGUUAGCUUGACUUUCAAAUCCAAAACCACUAAAUGGCCCUCCAAAAUUAAAUUGCCAACAAAAACUAAAGGGGAAAAGGUUUGUAGUUCAAUUAAUGAUGGGAGAAAGUUUGUCCGAAAUCAACGUUGGGUCUUAAUUUCAUUUUGGUUUAACUUUCGCAUCAUUUAUCAAAUUUUACAUGUAAUAACUUACUUUUAUUUUUAUGAAAUAUUUUAAUUAUUUAUUCAUAGUUUGAAUGAAGAUAAUGUGUUUGGAAACCGAAGCUAAAUAAAAAGUAUUGUCUUAUUAUUAGGGCGUGAAUUAUGGUUGGAAACAUUGAUAGUUCAAUUAUUCUAAUACAUUUCUUCUAACUAAUAUGCCGUGAAUUAUGGUUUCUAACUUUUGAUAAUCAAUUUUUUAAUAUAUUCUUUUAAUAAAGGUAGUUAAUUGAGGGAAAACUACUUUUUGGAGGGAUAAUUUAAUUGGUUUUCCAGGUUUCAAAUUAGCUAAUUCAGUUCUACAUUUUUUUAAAUAGAUUUUGUCAUUUUACUCUUUUUUAAAUAAUAAUAAAAAUUAAUAUUUAUUAAUCAUGGUAACCAAUUCUAUGUUUUUUUUACGAGAGAUCUUAGGUUCAUAACCCCCACCCCAAGUUAUACUUAAAAAAAACUAUUUUCAUGUUUUUGUUUGACAAAUAGAUUUCAUUCAAUUUGUUCUUUUUUAAUUUAAAGGUGUUUUUAACCGACAUACAGGAAGAUACUGUGAGAUUCAAUCCUUUCUGGACACUUGAAGUUGUAAUUACUAUUUCUCGGGUUUUCUGUCAUAUAAGUCAAUCUUUUUCAGCAAGCAAGCUAAUCGAUGUUCAGAAAGACUAAUCUUUCAUAUAAAAACUAGUUCUGUUUUGCUUCUUGGUGAGUUCUUGAUAUAUAUUGUAUAUGUGUAGAGUAUAAUGUUGUUCACCGAAUUAAUAACUAAAUAGAGAACCGAAGUGAAGAUAUCUCUAUUGUAAGCCUAGCAAGUAGCAUAGUACUGAAGUAUCCAUACUCAUGUGGGCAACCUGAACAAUGUGAUGUAAAUCAAGAUAAUAAGCAACUAAUUGAGACGAGAUUCUUUUAUAAAUCUGGAUUGUUCAGUAUAAGUUUGUUUAGUAUCUAAACGAUAUUAAUUCUGAUAAAAAUAUUUGUACUUAUAAACUUUUAGAUAGUUAAUAUAAGAUCUUUUCAAUCGGGUUCAUGACUUGCAGAUGUAGGUGUUGUGGCAUUGAAUUGGGUUACCAACACUUUUCUGCUAUGUUAUCUUUUUAGUCUUGCUCAUGCAGUUUUCUCGGUUAUUAAUUUGGAAUUUAUCUUGUCUCUUUGAUUGAUUGAGUGCUUUUUUUUCUCUCUAUUAUUUUUUUCUUUUUUUGGUUGUAACUUUUUUUUCUCUCUAUUAUUUUUUUCUUUUUUAAUUUACUAAAUUUAGGAGUGAUUUUUAAAAUCACUAAAAACUCUUACAUUAUUGUUUCAUCCACGUUAUUUAGGAUAUUGAUUUUUACUUAUUUCAAACUCACAAACGAGAGGGAAUGUGUUACAUGAUAUAUAAUUUUAAAAAAAAUUCAUCUCUUAAUUUAAGUUUUUUGGUUAAUCGAUGAUUUAAGAUAUCUCAAUAACUUUAUUUUAAAAGUAUUAAACUAAUUUUGAUGGAUUAAGUAAAAAUAUGAUUAAGAGUCAUUUGUGGAAUUUAUUUUAAUAAUUUUAUAAUAACUCUCAACCAAGGUUAGAGUUAUUUUUGUAAAACUAUAAUUACGGACGAUUGUUUUAAAAGUUAAUGUAAUUAAUUACAAACUCACUCUAAAUCAAUUUCUUCGUAAUGGGUGGAAAGAAGUUAGCAUUUAUUUUGGUAAGAGAAUGGUCCAUCUUGGCUGCUGUCUAGUAGUAUGUCCACUUGCAAAAGCAAAAUAUAAAAUAGUAAAAGAAGUUAUAAAGCAUUUUCAAACAUGGAAAAAGUUUUUUAUAUAUAUAUGGAAAUUUUCAAAUAUAAUAUAAUAAAUCAAAAUACUUAUAAAAUUUAAAAUAGACAAUAAUAAAUAUGGAUAGAUUUUCAUAUUCAUAGACAUUAAUAUAAAUCUAUCAAAAUGUUUAUCAAAUUUGUUCACAAUUUUUUUUCUAUAAUUUAGUUUUGAAAAUAGAAAUAAAGGAACAUUUUGAAACAUAACAAAAUGAACUAAAUAUUUAUAAAAUAUAACAAAAUUUAAUAUUAUCGUUGAUAGAAGUUUAUCGAUGAUUGUUUGGAUGCUGAAUUGAUAUAGCAUGUCUAAAGUCCAUAUGUUCGAGGAGUUUAUAUGUAUUGAGAGUUCUUUAUGUAUCUAUAAAUAUUUAUCACCGAUAGAAUUUAAAAUUAAUUUUAUAAUAAAUAUUUUCAACCGAUUUUCUAUUUACAAUGAUUAAAAAAAAUAAACUAAAAUAAAUAAUUAAAUAUAAAAUAUUAAUUUUGUUUGCCCACCAUCCACCUUUUAUUCAAGUCGGUAGGUCUUCAAUUCUUCCUUAGCUUGUCAUUUUGUGCAAAACUAUCACCCUUUAUUUCAAGUCAGUUGAUAACCUUAGUAGCAUUUCUACAGAUCAUGAUUAGUUGAAUAUUGAUAUUUUAAAUAAAUUAUAAAUAUAGAAAAAUAUAUCAAUGCUAAACUACUAAUAAUAUUGUCUAUCACGAAGAAUGCUAAACUACUAAUAAUAUUGUCUAUCACGAAGAGAUGUACUAAUUUAAUAGUAUUAAGAUGAAGUUACUAAAUUGUUGUUAAAUCAUAUGAUUUUUAUAUAUUAAAGUCGUACGUAUUGAUAUUUUGAAAGAAAAAUAAUUGAAACACUGAAUUCGUAUUGAAGUCGUUGAAGACACGUUAAAUAAAAUUACAACUAACCAUGAAUUAAUGGAUGAAAAUAAAAUGUUUUCUUAAAUUAAUAAUUGACUAAUAUUAUGAUUCAAAGACGAAAAUAGUUGUUCUCAAACAUAACCUUAAUAAGUAGUCAAUUGCAAAAAUAAUCCAACAGUUUGCUAUAAAAAGCCAUCUUAAGUAGUCAAUUGCAAAAAUAAUCCAACAGUUUGCUAUAAAAAGCCAUCAAAAGUUGGAGCAUUUCAACAAGCAAGUGAAACAAAUCCAGAAAAUAAAGAGUCACAAAAUGUCUCAUAAACAUUUGGUUAUUCUUCUUCUUGGAGUGAUUCUUCUUAGCACCCAAGUGAUUGCCCGGCCUUAUUACUUGUCGGAGAACCACCACAGACUGACUCCCUCCGCCACCGUCCCAUCGGCAGUCGGGGAAUCUUUGCAAAAACUCCCACCAUGGUUGAAGAAAAUUUUUCCCAAAAAGCCUCCCAAAAUCCCAAAAAUCAACUUGCCACCUCCACCGCCGCCGCGACGCAGACUGAAACCGCCUUCUUCCAACUGAUCAAUGCUAAAAAGUUGUAGUGAUUUGAAGGUGUUUAAUAAAUCAGCACCGCACCAUCACUGUGGUGUGUGCUCUCUCUCAACUCUCAAGCUUAAUUAGAUGAAUGAUUAUUGGAAGUUUAUUUUUAAGUAAUAUGUUUUUCUAAUAUUAGUACAAUCUAAUUAAGUACAUGUCUCAUGUACUGUGGGACCAUUUCUCUCUUUUUCAAAUAAUAAAUGGAAGGCAAGUGCUUGAGUAGUCAAUCUCAAAGAUGGUGUGUUGUCGUCCUUUGUUAUAUAAUAUAAAUUGAAAGAAUAUGAUUGUACUGUUUAUGAUUUGAUGAACUUAUUUAUAAAUAUAUCAAAAUUUAGACUUAUAUACACAACUUUCUCAUUUAAGUAAUAUCAGAAUAUAAUAUAUUAAGGGGAAAAAUGAAACUAAUAGCAUAGUUAUGAGUACUAACAUGUUGUUUGUCAUUGGAGAGAGUGUCAUCUUCGCAAAGUGACAAAUUAUUUCCAUGCAAUUUGAAUCAUUUGCCCAAGUGGACCACAGUAACAGUUUUGAUCCCGUGACAGACUCCAAUCAUAAUUCAUAACAAUAUGUUUUUUAAUUAGCAAUCAAAAAUCAUAUAAGGAAAAUUUGUCAACCAUAUUUGAAAAAUAGUCUUUCCACCCCAACCUAGGUAAAAAAAUUUAGACUGGCUAAUCGUUAAAGAUCUAAACAUUCCAUUGCAAAUUUAGAGGUGGUGUGACCCACUGAUAGCCUUAUGAUUAUCGCCUGAUGACCCUUCGGUAGCUCUAUGAUUAUCGUCUAAUAUCACUAAUUUUGGCAUAUUUGCAAUAUGCAAAAAAUUGAUGUCUUGAAUUGUUUUUUUAAAAUGUUUUUAUCAUUUGAUUCAAUUUUUAGUGUGUUUCAACGGAUAACAUAUAUUUUAAGUAGUUAGAAGAAAUAUUUAUAUUGUUACACAAUUUUUAUUGAAUUGUUUUCAAAUAUAUAAAAGUGAAAACUAAAAUAUAAGUCUAUCACUGAUAGACUAUGUUGCAAAUAUUGGUCUAUCAUUGAUAUACUAUUUGAAGUCUAUCAGCGAUACAAGUCUAUCAGUGAUAGUUUUGUUGUAUUUGCAAUUUUCAAUUUUCCUAAAAUUUAAGGUUUGAAUUCAAAAUCAUUUAUUAAACCUAAUAAUUCAUUGAAUAAAAAUGGUAUUUUUAUAUUUAUUAUUAGUUAAUACAAUUUCCAAAUAAAGUACACAAAAUUGGCUAAGCAGCCAUGUUCUAAUUGGAUAAGUAGUAUGACUUCUAAUGAAGUUGAUUGUAGGUUUGAGUCCCACUCGACCUGCUUCCUUUUUGUUUCCUAUCACUCACAUUCGUCAAUCAAGCUGGAUUUUGUGUCAUUUGUGUUGGAAAAAAUCUAGAAACCCCCCCCCCCCCCCCCCCCCCCCCCUCCCCUCAUUUUUUAAUUAAAUUUCUCCGAUUUUCAAUUUUUAUUCAAACAAUAUUUUUGAUAAGUCACUGUCAAAAAUUAAAAAAACAAGGAAAAACAAUUUAAAAAAAAAAAGGGAAAAAGGAAGCACGCCCAGUGGGACUCGAACCCACAAUCGCCUGAUUAGAAGUCAGACGCCUUAUCCAUUAGGCCAUGGGCGCUGAUUUGAUAACAGGUAAACAAAAUAAUGUAUCUAUCUACUCUUCAAACGUUUCAUAAUUGUCAAACCAAUGUUGUGUAAAUUAACUGUAAGAUAUUUUAGAAUGCAAAAAAUUAUUGGAAUUUAUGCAUGAAUGAGUAACAUAUUCAUCUAACACAUAUCUUCAUUCUCACAUGUCUAAAUAAAUAUUGUUACAGAUAAUUAAUUAUGGGUGUGUGUUAUAGGUUGAAAUCAUGUUAUCAAUAAUUAUGAGUCACUUGCUAUUAAAGCUCAAGUUCAUAACGAAAAAGCAAAACCUGAUAUCUCAAAAAGUAGUACUUUAUUCCCCUUUGGAUGUGUCAUUUCCAAAAGAAUAUAUAUACAUACAUAUAUAAUUUUAUAUAUAAAUGCUUGCAACCAGGCUUUCAAAUUGUAGUUGUGGUAAAGUAGUUAAUAACUUUUCCCACAUAUGUGCAUUGUUGAUAUCCAGUCGAAUGGGUUUGGACAUGAAAAUAAACAACUUUUUACCGUCUCUGUGUGUGUAUAUAUAUAUAAUUUAGUUUUGAGAAGAAAUAUACAAAAUUUCUCUCGUUUUCCUUCUCAUUAUUUUUUUUAGCCUACUUAAUUCUAAGUUGUUUAUUGUUUAAUUUUAGUAUGUAUUUUUUUACAAACGCAUGUAACGGAUGAGUGUUGUGUUAAAGUUGGGAUCAACCAACUUUUUAUGUUUUAGUAUCCACUUUGUAAUAUUUUUUUUCUUGCAAGUGACAGAAACUUGUUUGGUCCCCUUAGAAAGAUGACGAUCGAUCUUUUCCAUGACAGACAACAUGUUGAUAGUCAAUGUGCUAUUAAUAUGAUUAUUUCAUGAUUGUGAUCCCCUGUUAAAUCACAUUCAUUAUUAUUUUGUUAGGAUCACAUUAGUAGCACAAAAGUAAAUAUAAUUCAACAUUAAUUUAGCCUGUUGCGCUAAAAAAAACUUAUAUAAUGGAUCAUUAGUAUUUUAUUAGAAUAUUUUGACGAAUAUAAAAUUAAUUUUAUUUUUAUUUGAAAAAAGAUAAAAUAUCUUUCUUAUAUUUAUUAUCAUUUAUCAAUCUCUUUUAACAGGGAGUUAAAGAUUGAUCUUCCUUAAAUAUCUAGUUUAAAGAGAAAGAUAUUCUUCGUAUUUAGAAAUAUUUUACUGUAAAGUUCUUCUUUUUUGGCUAUUUAAAAAGUAGAAGUUCUCUAAACGUAAAAUUUAUUCUUCACGGCUGUUGUUCAAAAGUUUAUAUUUUUUUGUGAAGAAUCUGUACGAAGAUAAACCGGUUACCUACAGAUUAUUGAAGAUCGUCAAGAGAUUUGAGAGAGUAUCAAUUGAUAAGAAAUAUAAAUGAAAGCUGAGAUAAUUAUAUUGUGGUCAAUGAAUUCAAGGAGAGCCUAAAUUCGUCUUCGAGGAGAUUCAAAUUUACCGUUAGCUUUUCGAGGAGAUUCAAGUUUACCGUUAGGGGGAGCUUAAGUUUAUACGGUUAAGUUAUGGUGAUAACUUGUUAAUAUAACUUUCGUUAAGUUACAAACUUUUGAAUUUCAGUAAUACUUCUUACCUGAGCAAAGAAGCUUCUUAGAUGUAAGUCAUACUUUGCCGAACUAGGUUACCAAAGCCUUCUGUAUUAUCUGUUCGUUUUGUUACGUUUGUUCGUUUUUUUAUGUUAGCUAUUUCCUGAAGUUAAUAAUGUUAGUCAUAGAUGAAGGAUAUUAUUUAUCAUCUCACAUAUUUUUCAUAUUCAAAAUGAAAAUCAUUGAAAUAGAAAAGUUAGCUUACUUCAGUAGAAAUCUAUAAUCAAUUCCUUUUAAGUUGUAGAAUUAUUUUUUCUCGAAAUAAAAGUCUAACUUAUUAAGGUAAAAGAAGAGACAAAUAUUUUAUUAUAUGCUCUCAAAAUUACAAAAUAGUUAUAAAGUACGUAUACUAAAUGUAGAACUCGAACAACAUUUAUGUAUUGCCAAUAAUAAUUCUUAAAACAAUAUUAAAAUUUUUAUAAAAAGUACAAGAAAAAACCACAUUAUUUCAUAAAAAUAAACUUCCAAAAAUUAUCUAUCUUAAGCUUGAGAGAAGCACACACAUAGUUAUGGUGGUGCUGGUCUAUUGAACACACUUAUGGCAUUCAGUUCGAAGAAGGUGGUCUCCAACUGCGUACUGGUCGAGGUGGCGGUGGCGGUGGCGAUGGUGGUGGCGAUUUGACUUUUGGGAAUUUGGGAGAUUUUUUGGGAGAUUUUUUGGGAGAUUUUUUGUGAAAAUGUUUCUUAAAAAAGGGUAUGACUACUUUCCAAUAUGCGGCUGAGACGGUGGCGGAGGGAGUGAGUUUGUGGUGGUUCUCCGACAGGUAAUAAGGUCGAGCAACAACUUGGGUGCUAAGAAGAAUCACUCCAAGAAGAAGAAGAAUAACCAAAUACUUCUGAGACAUUUUUGUGCCUUUUUUUCUCUUUUUGUUUUGAGAUUCUCAAACUUAGGUGGCAUUUUAUAGCAACGAUUUACAUUAUUUUUGCAAUUGACUACUUAUUAAGGUUAUUUUUGCAAAGAAGUAAUCUUUUGGUCCUAAAAUCAUAACAUAGUCCAUGAUUAUUUUUUAAAUAUAAUUUCCUACGUAAUCGCAUAUCAUGAUUGUUUAGAAAAAGAAUUACACGAAGAAUUUUUUCCAUCGUUAAAAAGAACUACAUGAACAUGUAUAAUUUCUGACACAAUCGUGUAUCAUUUCUUACACAAUUGAUACACGUUUGUGUUUUAUGAUUGUUUAGAAAAAGAAUUACAUGAACCAUUUUUUUCAUCAUUAAAAGGAACUGCAAGAUCGUGUAUCAUUUCCUACGCAAAUACAAUCGUGUGUCAUGAUUGUUUACAAGAAGAAUUACAUGAACCAUUUUUUCUAUUAUUAAGAAGAACUACACGAUUGUGUAUCAUUUUCUACGCAUACGAUUGUGUAUAAUUUCCUAGAUGAUCAUGUAUCAUGAAUUGUUUACAAAAAGAAUUAUACGAAUCAUUUUUUCUAUCGCUAAAAAGAACUAUAUGAUCAUAUAUCAUUUUUUACACGACUGCGUAUUAUGUUCGUGUAUCAUGAUUGUUUAGAAGAAAAAUUACACAUGCAUAUGUGGUAAAGUGUUGAUACUAGCUACAUGAACCAGUAGUGGUAAUUGAAUGAAUGAAUUCUAUAAUAUCUCAAGUAUAAAAUAAUCAAACUUGUGAAUCAUUUGUGUGUUUCAAUCUUUUUUUACUCAUCUCCAUCAAUAUAUUGGACAUUCAAGUAUUUCUUCUUAUGAUUCAUUGUUCACAUGUCUUGCUUCUAUUUAAUGUAGAGUAAGUUAGCAUUUGGGUUUUUUAUUAUUGUAGCUAGUCGAUUAUUUAUUUAUGUAUUUACCAAAAGUAAUAAUAAUUAAUAAAGAAAACUACAGCUCUAAGGUGAUUUAGGGAAAAUCAUCAUUGUAUGAGUGCAAGAUCAAUUCCGUUAAUAAAACAAGUUUACUCUGCUUACGUUAUAAACAAACAAAAUUGAUAUUGAAAAUAUUUAUAAAUAUAGUAAAAUUUUAGAAUAUAUCACUCGUAGAUACUAACAAAUUUGAAUGAUGUAUGAUAGUACUAAUAAAGACUAAAAUGAUAAUUUUUUAAAUUUUAUUAUAUUUAAAAACAACUAUGGAAAAGUAUUUAUAUUAAUUGAAUAUAAUAUAUUUACGGGAAAUAAUGAAAUUGACAACCAAGUUUGACCGGUUCAAUCUACCUUCAAGUGACAAAUUCUCACUUUAAUUUCAAUAUCUUCAAUAACAUUUGCAAGUAGCCAAAGUCAAAUUUCAUUUAUUGGCUAUCAAAACUAGAAGAAACUUCUUAUCAUUAAAUAUAUAUUCUCUAUUGUAAAUACAUACUAAUUAAGAAUUAUUAUUCAUUUUAAAAUGACCGUUGAUACAUUAUUAUUCAUUGAAUUAUAAUAGAAUUGAUUUAAAGAACUACUAAUUGGCAUGGCUUAAUCUAAUCAAAUGAAUACUUUAUUACAUAUACUUACCUUUUAUAUUCAUGGUUUAUUAGCAACCACUAAAAAUAUAUAUCUUAUACUCAAUUGGACUAUAUAUAUACACAUAUGUUUAAUUUUAUUUCUUUAUUAAUGCGAAAGAAAUUAGGAAUUUGAACACUUUAAAUAUAUAUAUUAUUUGAAAGAAAAAAUCAUAAUUAUAACGAUUCAGAACAACUAUUCCAUUGCAAAUCAAAUCACUUAAAUCUGCACGCUUCAUUUUUUAAAAAAAAUCUCCACGCUUCAUUUUCCUUUGCCAAGAUCUAAAGGCCCAAAUUGAAUUUAGAUUUCACUAACUUUUUCAUUUUUCAACCAAUAAUUUUUAAUAUUUGCAAUCCUGCAUAACUCAAUAAGCCACCAUUGUUGCUUCUCCCCAAGCUUUCAUUUUUUUCUUCUAUCUUCUUCUUCAAAGAGAUAUAUUCUAUGUUGGAUGACUUAUUUGCUGUGAUUUAUUUUUUGAGUGUGUUAUUUAAUUCUUCCAAACCUAUUGUCAGGGGAUACUCUUGAAGCCAUAACAAAAGUGUUGUAAAGGCUAGAACCUCGAAGUGGAAAGGAUCAAAUUUGUUCUUGGGCACGAAAAAAGAAUAAUGGUGUGGUGGAUUGACUCUAACUCAUGAAUAGAGUUAAGUUUGUAGUGACAUAUAUCCAAAAGGAACUUGAAAAGUGGAUCAUAUAGAUGGAUUUUGUACCAAAAACGCUACAAAGAUAGCUAUUUAAUUUUACAAAGUAAUUUGUUUAUAUACUUCGUUACAUAUAAAAUUAUUCAUUUAGCCCUUGUGUACUUGUCAUCUAAUCUACACUUUGUAAUUGAUUUUUAAAAGAACAUUACACUACUACAAAAUUGGCAAUACUUGACACUUUUUACCUAUCAAGUAUUUGUUUACAUGACACUUUUAAAUGCGUCAAGUAAUCUAAUGUUAAGAAUAAGAGAAGUUUACUUGACAGUUUUUAAGCGUCAAGUACAAUUAUACUUGACAGAUAAAAAGUGUCAAUUGUAUGAGAUUACUUUAAACUUUUUACAUGUCAAGAAUAAGAAGGUUAUUUGUUUGACAGCUUUUAUGCGUCAAGUAAAUUUAUAUUUGCCAGUUUAUAAACGUCAAAAAUUUAUUUAUUCUUGACACGUUUUGUAUGACAAUAUUUUUUUUCUUUUAAAUAAAAAAUUGUACAAUUUGAAAUAUUCAUAUUAUUAUAUUACACCUGUUUUGAAGUCCAUUCACACACAUAUAAGUAGAGUCUUUGAGAUUACACAAAGUUGCUAAACUACGCAUAUUAAUUAAACAAUUGAAUCAACCCAAACUUUCCAUUAAAAAACUAAUACUUUAACAAAUUGCAUAUAUCACUGAACCAUACCUAUAGUUAGUCAUUACAAACUUAAUUACAAUAGCCCAAAUUUCUACCAUAUGAAGAUAUUGUUCUACCUAGCUCUAUGUCUAAUAUGAAAAAUCUUAAAGUCUGCAAAAUGUAAAUAUGAGAAAAAAGCUAACAUUUGGUCAAAGCUCUGGAUUCUUUCGUAACAUGUCCACAAUAAGUGUUUUCCUACAUGUAGAAAAGAGCAAGAGUUUCAACAUUAGAUUGCACAAGACAACUAACUAUGCUAAGCAUCAAUACAUUUAUUCUCAAUUACAUCAGUUUUUAUUCACUAAAACUAAGCAAACCAUAUAAAGAAAGAAGUCAUGGAAGGAACAAGUUAUUCAAAAUCACUCAAAGAAUAAGCUAAGCAAAAACAUAGAAAAAUUAAAAGAAAAGAAAAAAAAGAACUGCUUGAAGUUCAUAUUUAAGUUUUUUCCUAUGAGAUAUGGUACAGACAACUAACUAAAAUGAUGAAAGAAAGCAAGUCCAACAUACUAUUUUUUUUCCAUUGCUGAAAGGUAAGCUUAUUUAUUCUAAGAACUCAAGAAAAGUAGGAACUCAAUUUAACCCUCUUCACCAGAUUCGAACAUUCAAAUCAUGCAAAUAUUAAUACUGUAAAAUUACAUCUAGACUUUAAUAAAUACCACAAGAAACCAAAGGUAAUGAUUUCAUAUAAGAGACAUAGGGAUGGGUUGGAAUUUUUUUAAAAAAACGGUCAACUGUUUUCAAAACAAAGAUUUAGUGAAGACAUCUUCAAAUAACCAUACAAUUACUUAACUUCCUAUAGUUAGUUGUAUUAAUAGCACAACUCGUGUUUUUCUUUCUAUAAUCAUGGAUAUAUGUAAAGUUUUUUAACAACACUAAAACCAUGACAUUUUUUUCAUAUGGCACUAUAGAACUAAUUUGAUAAACAAUACAAAACAAACUCUUGGUAGAAAAAAAUGUACCAUACAAAUUCUUGAUAGUUGACUUUCUUCCAUGUGUAAUGGUAGGUCUUCCAUUAGUGUAAACCUAAACAAAGCAUGAAAGAGAAAGAACUCAAUCACCAAUCAAGAAAAAUUAUCAUAAAUAAUAAUUGAAAAAAGGUUUACAAAUAUUUCUAAUGGAUAUCCUGUUUUCUAAGUCCAUUAACAAUGGUCCAAAUUUGGUACUUCACAAAAAUAAUUUUUCUUGGUGGACAAUGCCCAUAAAGAUAUAACUUUUCUUGAUGGAUCUUGUCCAUGAUUUUUUUUUUCUUUUUUUGUAUUUGUCUAUCAACAAAUCCUAAACCCAUCCAGAAAUUUAAUAUAUAUAUAUAUAUAAAAUCAAGAAAAUUCAUCUCUUAAUGGGUCUCGUCCAUAAAAAAAAUCUAACUUGUUAGACAUUGUCAAUCAACUAAUAUAUUAUCUUUGAUGUUUAUUCUCCAUCGACAAAUAAUUUUCUUUACGCUUGUGGACCAUCAAUAAAACUAAGGAAACUUUGUCCAUCAAGAAAAUAAAAAAUUCAUAUUUUUUUUUAGGUUUUUUCAUAUUUCUUCAACAAAAUAAGUGAACUUUUCUUGACGUACAUGACCGUUUUUAUGAUGUUUAUGUGCAUUCCUUCAUUUAUAGAUUUUUGUGAUGUCUAGGAGCAAGCCAUCGACCGAACAAAAAAGUUUCAGAGAAAUUGAUGAGAAUUCAAAUAUGAAGAACGUAAAAAUGGGAGACUAAAAAGAACAGAUCAGAAGCGUCGUUUCCAAAAAAUAACAAAGUGGCAUGAUGAUGCUAAAGAACUAGGUUUUUCAUUUUUUUUUUUUUAUUGCUUUGUAAUUAAGUAUGCUUUUGAUAUAAAGAUGUAGGGUGUGCUUAGCAAUAUAUAGUAUAUUAUGGAUCUUAUAAUUGAGGGAUGAAGGAAAAAAAAUGUCUUUCUCCUUUUGUAUUAUCUCAAAACAAUAACUAAUUAUAAUUCUUGAGAAAUGUGUUAAAUAAUUAUACUUCUUGAAUACGGUAGAAUAUGGUAGAAGUACAUAAAAUAAAUAAAAUUAACACAAAUGUCCAAAUAAUAAUAAAGUCAAUACAUGUUGAUGUCCAAAAUUCCAAUCCAUUUACACAUUUGAUAUGCAAGAGAUACAUGUAAAAAAAAAACCUACACACUUAUCUAAAGUUUGAUUGAAAAGAUUGUUUCAUAAUCAUACUAUCAAAUUCUUAAUAUAUUUUAAUUAACUCAUUUGAUUUAUACACACUCGUAUAAGAAAUCUUGAGUAAGAGGUCUCUACAAAAUAAAGCUCCAAAAUGUAAUUCCAAAAAUCAUGAGUAAAGAAACGUAACUUCAUAUUAUUUGUAUAAUUAAUUACUCUCUUAAUUUUAUUUAGUCAAAUAAAAUAAAAAAUUGGCGUGUGUAUAGUAAGUGUUAUUAAGAUUUUGGAAACUGUUCACAACUAAGUUUUGUUUAUAAUUUCAUCGUAUUUGAUUCCCAAUUCUCGAAUAAAUAUCCAAAUUGAAAAUUAUUCAAAAUCCAAACAUAAAUAGAAAUUAUAGAUAUACACAAAUUGGAACCAGCACAAUGCCUAGCCACAAAAUCUAGAAAGGUUAAACGUGUCCCAGUCUCAAUUCAAAAAUAUCCUAUGCAACUUCAAAUUUGUCCUAUUAAAAUACUUAGUUCCAUUGGAUACUCCAACUAGCUGUUUAAUUGGGUAGGUCUUAUUAACUCAUUCAGUUCCUUCCUAAUUCUAAUUCUACGGUUAGCUAUAUUUGAAUCAAAGUUUAGUAAGUCAAGUGAUCACUUAAAAAAGUUUUUUUUCUUGUUGCAACUUAUAAAUGUUAUAAAUGUAAAUUAGGAGUAAAUUUAGAUAUUACCUUAUUUUCUUGUAUUUAUUCGUUAAUGUACAAUUAGUUGUUCAAUUAAAACUUAGAGAUCACUCAUUUACCGAAGAAUAUUUAUAAAAUAUAACCAAAUUUUGUAUUUUAUUAUUAAUAAAUAUUAUUGAUGCAAAUUGAAAUUUUGUUAGGUUUUUUAAAUUCAUUGAAAAUGUCCUGAAGAUUUAUUAUGUGAUAUAUACAUUUUUUUGAAAAAACAAAAGGAAAAGAUUGGAAAGAGGUUACACACGCCAAAUCAUUAUCUACGUUAAAAGAGAUACUUUGGCUAUACAAUACAGUACAAUGGCUAUACAAAUAUUUUUCCCAAUAAAUCAUUGCAGCUAUGAACUCGUAAUGGAGGGUUAUAAUAAUAAUUAAAAAAACGGUUGUUACUAAAGCAAGCAAUGAAAAAUAUAAGUCAUUUAAUAUUUAUAGUUGUUUUCAGUAUAGUAAAAUAAAUCAAAGUAUUUAUAAAAUUAAAUAUAUUAAAAUUUUAAAUUCUAUUAAUAUUUAGUAGGCACCCAUAAUUUUUUUUUUAAUGUUGAUAAGUUGCUGAAAUCUUUUUAUAUUUAUAAUUAUUUUAAACAAUUUUAUCAUUUAAAAUUAAAAACAAUAACAGCUUUGAAUUUGAAAAAAAAUUACAAACAUUGUAAAAUAUUAUAUUUAUAAACUAAUAUGUUAAAAAGAUUUGAAUAUAAAAAACUUGCCCUCAAAACACCUACCUCAUUAAUGGCAAAAUAAUAACCCCGUAAAAUGCUAUAAAAGGCCACAACGUAUGAGGUUCCCAGUAGGAAAAACUCAAACUCCAAAAGCCACAAUGUUUCUCAAAUACUUCCUUCUCCUUCUUCUCGCAGUUGUGCUUCUUACCACAACACAAGCCCUGAAACACCCCUCCAACUCCAACCAAGAAGUGAUUCCAACCACCGACGUCACCCACGGAAAGCUCCCGACCACCAUCACCGAUCCAAACGAAGAAUCCAAAUUCUACAGGAGGCCGUCUCCCUACAAGAAGCCUUACAAGAGGCCACCCUACAAGAGGUAUCCACCCUACAAGAAACGCCCUCCAUACAAGAAGUACCCACCAUCUUCCCACUAAAUGGCAUCCAAAACCAAAGUGGAGGCCAUGGACAAUUAAUGUAUCAUCUGUUUAAUUUCUUUGAUAAAUAAGUGGUGCUACAAGCUCCAAGGGUAAUACUAGGAAGUUCAUGAUGUUGGCCUUUUGAAUUACGUAAUAUCUGUUAAUCCAAACUUCAUAUGUGUGACAUAUGGUUUGUAUUUUCUGUGUUAUUGCUUCACUUAUUGUGUAAUAAUUUAAAGUUCGAAUGGAUUUAAUAUUUUGUUUCAACUAUGUUAGUCUUCUUUUUAUACUCUUUAGAUUUAGAUAUUGAAAUUGUACUGAUUUCAACAUUCAACAUGUAGGAGAGAAAUUUGAACAUUGAACUGUGAUCUUUUUCUUAAUACAUAUUCAUCAAAUUAAAAUAUAUAUGUAUUUAAAUUAACAAUUUCAUAUAACUAAUGUAUUAGUUAUUAAUUAAUUUUGAAACAUAAAAACAUUUAAGAUAUGUUGAAUGAGAGAGCGAGAUGUUUCCUUUUGAGAUUAGACCGGGCUAAUUAGUUAUAUGAUAAGAAUAACAAUUAGGUUAACUAAAAUAUAGUAAAUACUUAUGCUAAUUAAAUUAUAUGUUUUGAGAAAUUUUCACAGUUGAACUAUUUAUAUAUAUCGACAAAAAGAUACUCAUAAACCAUGAUAGACUUCUUUCAUAGUUUCUAUUAUUGAUAGUAUCAAUAUUUAUAAACUUCUACUAGUUUCUAUCCAUCGUAGAAAUUGAUAGAUUUCUUUUCAACCUCUAUCAAUCAUAGAUUUCAAUUAGUUUCUAUCACUAAUUAACUUUUAUAUCAAUGUUUAUCAAAGUUUAUCAAUGUCAAACUUGUGUAUUAAUUUCUAACAUUGUUAGACAUUGAUAAACUUCAAUUAGUGUAUAUAUGGAUAUAAUGAAAGUAAAAGUUUUUUAUAUAACUGUAAACUGCUUGACCCAUUUUUCUACCUUUAAAAUUUCUUAAUUAAAAGCAUACUUUUUUGCUUUUGUUUUUUGGACAAUUAUUUAUAUUCAUUUAGUAAAAAAGAUAAAUAACAACCAACAAUAAAAAAAAUCACUAUUACACAAUUAUUUAUAUUCAUUUAGUGUUAGAAUAAUAUGAAAGUAGGUUUUGAAGCGUAUUUUUAAUCAUAUUUAUAAAACAUGUAUUUAAAUAAAGAAAAAAAGAAAGUUAACAAUUCAAAUUAGACUAACAAUUGAGGAAGAUUUGAUUUCUUUUCCCAAAAAAGGAAGGAAAAAAAAGAAAGAAAAAAAAAAACUGUCUAUUCCAUCCCAUCACAGAUAUGUGUUCUGUGGGUCUAAAAUAUUAAUAUUGUGUAUUCCUCUAUAUAAUUGUAUUUUGGUUUUGUUCAUAACUUCAGACUUCACUUCAGUCAUGCAUGACGUUACUAUAAGAUAAGCUCACAUGCUCACAUAACUCUCUCCAUCACUCACCAUUAUCUUAUUGUUCUAAAAACAUACUUCCAUUCUAAAUAUUCUAAAUAUAGAUUUCCAUUAUUAUGUUUAGUGUCGGCAAUGUGUUACUCUCCUCCACUUCUAAUUCUCUUGCCAAACGUUGUGAGGAUAUCAAUUCUUAGUUUUCAUAUAAUCAGAGUGUCAUUUGUUGAGUUUAGUAAAUUAAUUAUACAUCGCAUAAUUUCUAGAGUUAGUAGAGAUUUUUUUAAGAUUUCUUUAUUUUUUUUUCUUAUUUUCUUUUAUUUUUUUAUUUAUAUUAUUUACAUACUAUAUUUUAAUUAUUUUAGUGCUAUAUUUUUUCGUUUUAUGUGUUCCAAUUUUGUCUCAUUUUUACAUCCCCUUCUUAUAUGAGAUUUAGUUUCAUUUUCUAAAACUUUUUUCAAAUAUAUGUUAUAUAAAUUAUAUUGUAAAUUGAUAUAAAUGAUGUUAUGUACAUGGUUUAUACUCUUACGUAUUAUAAAUCGAGUCAAUUUUAAUCCUAUUUUAAUGAUAGAAAAAUCUCUCUAGAGGAUCGUUGGGUCUACCAACUUAUCUAAGUUAGUAUAAGCACAAUUCAACUUAAUUCAUAAAACAUUAUCGAACUUUUACAAUAUAUCAAUUAAUUUUAUCUUCAUUUUAUUUAUCUUCUCAUACCAUAUAAUACUCAUAAUUCAAGAAAAGCACACAACACCAUGAGUACAUUUGAUUGUAACACAACACAAUGACACUCUCGAUUAUUCUACCAACAUCGAACUUGAUGAACGUAAAUUUGUCGUGAACCUCGUGGCACAACACCCUAACACCGUGUCUAUAAAAAGAGUGUUAGCCCUCCUAGUUAUCUCUCUAGGAUUGCAACUGAUUCCAAUGCUUUUUCGGUUUACUUUUCUUCUCUUUUUUGUCAGUGCUGGUAUCAAAAUUCUAUCCAACUUAUCGACAUGUCUAUUGUGGGGAAAAGAUAACAUUUUCUAGCCUGGAUUCUAAGAUUUUUUUCUGGUUCUAUGUACUUGGAAAACCACAAUAUUGUAAUUAAUGAACUGAAUUUUUUCUUCAUAGUAUUAUCAUAGGCUUGAUGAGAUUGUAUGAUAUUGCUGUCUAAUUCGUGAUACUUGAUUAUAUAAUAUUAAUUCAUAGGAAUGAAUAUGUUAGGUUAACUUAGACAAUCAAAUAAAAUAAAUAUUAUCCUAACCAAUCUAACACUAAAUCCAAUAAAUAUUUUAUUUAAGAUAUUAGAGAAUUAGAUAUUCACUUAAACAAUAAUUUAAAUCUUAACGCGAUUUGGAACGAAUCUAAAUUAGUAUGUUACUCCAAUUUGAUUUAAACUGAUUAGUAUAUUAGGACAAGUUAAUUUGCGUUUUAAUUAUUAGUUUGGUUAGUUGUAAGCACUUACAUAAGUUCAUUUUAUUUAGUUUUUUUUUUCGAGUAACAUUUUUUCUCAUAUGAACAAUUUUUAAAAAUAUUUUAAUUACUUAAACAACAAGUUUGUUUUUAAUGUGAGAUAUUUUAAUUACUUCAUCAACAAAAGUAUUUGUUUAAAUUUCUUUUAAAUCAAAAUCAAUUCUCGUAUAAAGUUCACCAAACUCUAUCGAUAUAUAGGAUUUUUCACUCUCUAUGAUAGAUCAUCCAAGUAGACGCAUCCAAGAAAAAAACUGUAGCAGAAUUUUGAUUGAAACCUUUACGUUCAAGUAAAUACUUGCAUGAAGAUUAUAUUACCUGCCAUAAAAAUGGAUAUAAGAGAUUAAAGACAACUCUAAUAAUUGAAAGCUUCAGUUAUCUACCUAUAUCUAAAAUUUUCAAUUUAUCGAAAGAUUAAAGUUGCAAAAUAGAACUAUAGCACAUUAUCUUUGUUUUUCUUUAAAAACUAUGUUCUCUAUUCGUACUAAUUUUGUCUUCUUUAUAAUGAAUGAAAACACACUAUUUAUGUUCAAAAGAUUUGUCAUUCAUAAAAUGUUUAAAUUCUGUUUUUAUUUCUAAACUUUGUAUCUUUCUAUCUUGAUCUAUAAAUUUUAUAAAUAUCUAUUUUAAUCUUUAAGUUUUUUUUACGUUGGUAUGUAUCAUUGGGAUCUUAUUAACUUUUUAACAUAUGACAUAUAUCAAGAUGAUAUAGAUUUAGUAUAUUACUUAAAUUACAAAAAAAAAAUUACUAAUUUAUUGUAUAAAACUUGUAUGUCAACUAAAAAACCUAUUUAUAAUAUACUAAGAAAAAUUAAAAUGGUUGUAUUUGAUAAAAUUAGACAAAACAACUUGAAUAUAAUCAAUAAUAUCACAUUAUCUUAUAUUUGCACCUAGUUCAAAAUAUCAGUCUAUAAAGUAUUCAAGUUCCACGAAGACAAUAUAUUAAAAAUAGCUAAACCCUACACCUAUUCAAAAAUGAAAAAAAAAGUAACAAAUAUAAGCAAUAGACUCAAGAAAAAAGUUUAAUAAACGUAAGUAAAAAGCUCAAUAUAUUAAAAAACCAUAUCUUCUUUAGGUAGAAAUAUACUUGCGCAAAAUAUAUAUUUGUCAGUUUAGAAUUAUUGUGUAAUCAAACCAAUUCAACUAUUAAAGAAAAAUUGGUUUAGCUCCUUUUUAAAACUAAUCUGCUAUUAUUAUCAAUGAGGAGGUCAAGAAGUUAUUCAUUAUUAAUGAAGCUUUCACUAAAUAAUCAAACAUAAAAGUAAAUCUAAGAGUGAAAUUAAUUAGAAUCUAAAUAAGACUUAAAUUGAAAGAAAAAAAAAAAGAAGUUGAUUCUAAUGAUUGUCAUCUUAAUGGGAGAAAAUGGUAGGCAUAAUUAGGAAAAAUUAGCAAUAAAAAAAAAAAGUGCACAAAAUUAUAGCAAAAACAGUGAAUUAGUGCAAAAAUAAAGAGUAAAAUGCCAAAAAUUGACCAAUUCAAAAUUGAGAGAGAGAAAUGAGGACACCAACCUUGAUGGGUAUUGGAUUUCAACUUUUCAAGGAAAAAUCCAGCCUUAACAUUAUUCCAAUCUUCGUAUGAGAUGGAUUAAGAAAAGGAGUUUGGAAAGAAACAAGUAAAAUAAAUUAAAACAUCAACUAACAUGGAACUACCACAAUACUAUUAUGACAAAGAUAUGAAAUGAAACUUUAACACAAUUUUAUAGAGAAUUUAAUGAUUUUGGGUAAAUAAUUUUAAUUUUCUUUUUUCUUUUUUUGCUAUUUAGACAAGUUCUCGUGAAUUAAAAACCAAAGUACAAGAAAGAAAGAAGAAAACUUGAAUAAAUAAGGUGUGAAUUCAACUCAAUCAUAACUUAUUCAUUUCCACCAAAAAUAGUCAUUCUUAUUUAUAAAAAUAGUAAACUCUAAAAGAAGUGUUCCAAAAAUUAUUUAAAUAGAUUAUCAAACAUUUCAAUUUUUUGUAAGUAACAAACUUAAAAUGUUAAACCAAACCCACCCAUAACUCACUCCAUAAUAAAUUAAGAAAAGAAUUAUAUUCUAAUAUUACCAUGUUCUAAAACCCUUUUAUCUUUUAUCUUUUCUUUCUUUUUUUUUAAUUUAAAACGGUGGAAAUUUAAAUAUUGAAGUUCAUGAAUUAACCAAUUUUUGUAGGUUCACACUCUAAACUCCAAUUGCUUAAGAAAAAAAACAAAUUUUAGUUUUUGGUUCUUGGUCUAGUUUUUCUUUGGUCUUUAAAAUCCAGAUAUUACAAUGUCAUCCUAAGUCUUGAGUUUAUUUUGAGUCCAUUUCAUAAUCUUUAUAAUUUAUCCUUUAAAUUUGAGAGCUUCUUGUUAAUUUAAGUUUAUAACAAUAAAAUAUUUAUUUCAAUAUUUAGAAUUAAUUCAAAUAUUAAUUAAUUGAGAAUUUAAACUAAUAUAUUUUUUUAGUUAACUAAAGAUUUGAACUACUUCUUACUUUCUAAUCAAAUACAUAUUAACUAGCUUACAUCCAAUGUUAAGUGUUAUCAUUUUCUUACCAUAAUUUGCAUAGUUAGAUUUCAAAUUAAAAGUGUUGAGUAAGAAAUUUCGGCCAAUUAAAUUCUGCCACAUCAUCGCAACAAAUAUUCAAUAAUUAUAUUUUAUUGGAUUUUGAUAAUUAAGUUUAAUCCAACCCAAUUCAAGUCCAAUAAACAGAUUAGCCAAGUCCAAGCUUAACAAGCAGAUGGGCUCAAGCCCAAGUCCAAACCCAAUAAGGAAAAUGGACCCAAGCGUAAGCCCAACAGGUAAAUUGGUCAAAGUCCAAACCCAACAAGCAAAUGGGCCAAAGCCCACCUAAAGCCCACAAAAUUUCUCUAUAAAUAGAGACAUUUGUCAUUCAUUUGAGAAGUUCUUUUUUUGAAUGAAGAAUUGAAGCUCUGAAGUACUGAAGAAUUGAAGAUUCAAACUUCUAUAAAGCUUUCAAGACGUGCAAGUUCUUAUCAACUUCGAGAUCAUCAUCUUCUGAAAGAUUGAAGACUUGGAAGAUCAAACUUUUCUUGAAUUCCAGAAGACUGAAACUCAAAUAGACUUGCAACUACAACAUCCUAAAGACCGAAGAUAAAAAAAUUCUAAGUUUUUAACUUGUAUUCGAGAGAAAGCAUCAAAUGAGCAAAUACUAGAGAUUGUAUUCACAAUAUUCAUCAAUAUGCAAAUUUCAAUUCCACGAAAUACAUUUCUUCGAAAUGUCGUGUGAACAAAAAGUAAAUAGCACGUUUUUAAAGACUACUUAUUUUGUAUUUUCAAAAUUUAGGUUGAUUCUUUAAAAUAGUAGUAAAAAGUAGAUAAGAAAUAAACAAAUUUAGGUGCUCCAAAAAAAAAAGGAAAUUUAAUUUGAAAAAACUAAAGUAAGAAAAUUAAAUAACACUAAAGAGGCUUAAUUUUCUAAUUCUAAUGUUACCAUACGAAACAUUAGGGGGAGAGAAAAUGUUAGGGGAAAGGGUUAUGUAACCCUUCCCCAAUUUUCUCAAUCCUUCCUUAACUUCCUUAUUCAUUUUUUAUUCCUUACUCAAUCCUUCCUCCUUCCUUCCUUCUUCCUUCUUCCUUAUUCCUUAUUCCUUAUUCCUUAUUCCUUAUUCCUUCCUCAAUUUAUCAUAAUUAAUCCAUUUAAGUUUAUAUAUUAUUUAAUCCAUUUUUUUCGUUUAUAAAUUUUAUGAUUGUGAGUUCGGUUAAUUUUAAUCUUAUUAUUUAAAAAACACAACAAUUUAAUCACACAAAUUAUGUAAAAAAGCUUGAAAAUAGAUGUCAUAUUUAAAGAAAUUAUUACAAAUUGUUUUACCAAAACUAUGACAAUUUAGUAAAUUAAAUAUACAAAAUUUUUGUAUUAGAUUUAGAAUAUGAAUUUUUUAUUAAAAAAAUUAAUAAUUUAAUUGUACCUAUCGAUUACGUAAAAAAGGUUGAAAAUGAAUGUCGUAUUUCAAGAAAUUACUAUAAAUUAUUUUAUGAAAACUAUAGUGGUUUUGUAAAUUAAAUAUAUGAAUUUUAUGUAUUGGAAUUAGAAUAUGAAUUAUUAAAAAUAAUAAUAUUUUUUGCUUGUACAUUGUGUUCCAAUGAAAAAGGAUGUCGUAUUUGGUUUAAAUCAAUUGUAAAAUAUAUGCAAUCUGUGUAUUGCAUUUAGAAUAUCAAUUAAAAAACAAAAAUAUAAUAUGAAUUAAAAAACACAACAAUUUAAUGGCACAUAAUGAUUACGUAAAAAAAAGUUGAAAAUGAACGUCGUCUUUGAAAAAAUUAUUGAAAAUUGUUUUACGAAAACUAAGAUGCUUUGGUAAAUUAAAUAUAUAUAAUUUGUGUAUUGAAAUUAGAAUACUAAUUUUAAAAAAAUAAUAAUUUAUUGGCACUAAACGUUUGCAUAAAAAACGUUGAAAAUGCACAUUGUAUUUAAGAAAACAAAUGUAACUUGUGGCGAAAAAUUACAAUUUGAUAAAUUAAAUAUAAGAAUAUUUGUGUAUUAGAUUUAGAAUACAAAUUUUUUAAAAAUAAUAAUAAUAAAUAAUUUUCAUAAUUGUUUUCACGCAAUCCUUCUCCCAAAGAAAUAUUAUCAUAACACUACCUACUAUAAUUCUUCCCUAAACACAUACGACCAUAACACUACUAUUCAUAAUUCUUCUCCCAAACACAUAUUAUCAUAACACUGCCAAUAAUAAACCUCUUCCAAACACAUUUAUUAUAACAUUAGAAUUAUCAUCAUCAUUUUAGUCGGUAACUUUUUUUUCUUUUCUGUUGGAGCGCACCUAAUAAUUUAAUAUAGGCUAAUUUGUUCCCAAAAUAGAAUCAUUAUUUUACAUAUAAUUAUAUUAAUUGAACGGAAACGUAAUUUGAAGAGCAUGAGAAACAAAAACGUUUCCAAAACAACCAAUUUAGAAAAUACAAAAAAUGAGGUGGAUCUUCUUGCUCGACAACAACGCUCAGAAACGCCAUGGCAACUGGUGCGUCUCUUCAUCAAUCCCUCCACCACGUAUUCUCUUACCAUCGCCGCCCUCCACUUGCCUCACUAUUCUUUGGAAGCCUGAUAUCUUUGGAAGAUUGAAUAGGAAAACUCCAUAAUAACCCAAGCUUACUAGACUUUCUCAUAUAUAUUCUCAAUUGUUACUUGUAAAUUGAUUUUAUGCUGUUUAAUUUUAUGUACAACCAAAACAAUUUCAAACGGCGCUUUUAGUUCCCUCUGCGUUCGACAUGUGUACCAACGCUAUUACAUUUUUAGUUAAUAGCGAAAACAAUUUAGUUUAUCCAAUCCGAAUUUGGACGAAGAAUUUCAAGUUGUUGAAGAAAGAAGUCGGUUGGGUUGAGAUGGUAAUAUAAGAAACAAAAUAUGAAACCAAAAGUUCCAUAUGUCAAUGCCAUUGUGAAAAAAAUAGGAUGAGAAAUGAGGAAGAAGGAGAAAUUUUAAAAGAGAAAAUAAAAAACUUGGUAAAUAUAUAUUUGCAUAAAUAACCAUAAUAUUGUAAAAUGAAGAAAAAGAAGUGAAAAGACCGUCCACGUAAACUUAAAAAUUUUGAAAUAUAAUAAGUUUUUUUAUUUUGUCAUACGGAUCAUAAAUAUUUGGAUGUAAUUUCGUUAUAUAUCGAUCAAAAUUGACCAAAUAUUAAAUAUAUAUAUAUAUAUAUAUAUGAAACAAUUUAAUAAAGGAGGUAAGGAAUAAAAUAAACUAAGAACUAUUGAACAUCUAAAUAUGAAAAAAUAAUUUUAAAAAAAUCAUCAAUGUUGAAAACUGAACCCAUGAAUAUUAAUAUAUAGGACAAAAUUUGUUUCAAGCAUAACUCCACACCAAUGUGGUAAUUAGAGAUUUUAGAAAAUAAAAAAAGUUAAAUUAAAUUAAAUAGAAACGAAAUUGUGAUAAAUCACUUCCCAUAGUUCCUCAAUUUUUAUCCAAAUUUAUGAAACGUUCCUUAAUAUUUGAGAACGAAAAAUGUGAACUGUUAUCAAACAUAUAAGUUUCUUAAAAAAUGAGAAACAAAUACAUAAAACAUGAAAUAAGAACUUAUCAAACAAACUCUAAAAUUUUAGAAUUAUGUUCAGUACCAACCUCUUCUACCUUUUACCUUUUUUUUUUAAUACAAGAAGUGUUAGAUGUCAUACCAAUAUUUACUAGUCAAGCUUACUUUAACAUAAUUAUAUUAAAUACAAUGUAGGCUCAUAAAAUGUGUUAGAAUGAUUCAAGGACCUAUUAAGCUUGUUCCUCUUGAUUACGUGAGUGAUCAAACCAUAUCCUAAUCAUGUUCACAUAUGCAAUAUAAGUAUACUAUAAAUUUAGUUCUUAAACUUUUCAAACUAUAUGUUAGUAAAAUUUAAAAAUUUUCAAAACUUUAUUUAUGAAUAAUUGCAAGUAAUGUAUUGAGAGUAUAAUUUUCCUUGCAAAUUAAUUUUCAGUCUAGUUUGUUUAGAGUGCAACAAUUACUAGACAGUGUUAUCUAGUAAACAUUCAAUUACCCGAUACCCACUCGAUAUAUGGGUACAAAUUAAUCACGAUAGUACAACUUAUAUAACAAGUGUGUGUUUGUGUCUCACUAGUGAGAAUAUUUGAUUUUGAUUAACAAAGCUUAGUAAACCAUUACCCAUACAAUGUCCUUAAGUUGGCUUUCAUUGGAAAAGGUGAAAUAACUCUACAAAUCUUUUUCUAUUUCAUUUUUCUCUCUCUCUCUUAGAUAGAUUUUUCAUCGACAUAUUGGAUCCAUUGACAAUAGCCAUUCUAAAUUUGUCAUUUUGAAAAAUAGCAAAACCGUUUUUUUUUUAAAUAGCAAAAUGAAAAAAAAUAUACAAUAAAGAGAAGAAUUUGUAAAAGCUCUUGUACACAUGAAGUGUAAGCUACUUUCUUAAUUCUAAAAUAGAAUAAAUACACUUUAAUAAAUCAUGAAUACAUACUUGUUCAAUCAAAAUCUUAACCCUCCAUCUUCAUUUUCCACGAUCAAAGUCAGAACUCUUCAUUUUCAUUUUUCAUACGCGUUGUAACGAUUUUUGUUUUUCGUUGUUUCUCAUCUUCCAUUUUGAAAAUCUUCCUUCGUCUCUGUUUUCCAUUUAAUUUUUAUCUCAUCUUCUUCGAGCAGGCAAACCUAAUCUUUCCACUUUGAAGCGAGCAAACCCCAAUCUCCACCCUCUUCCAUUUGAAGUUUCAGUUUCAUCUUCAUCAUGUAUUUUAAAAAAGAAGAAUAUAAACAUUUGAAGCAUGCAAACAAUAUCUUCAUUUUGCAUCUUCCAUAUUUGAUUUUUAAGUUUACAACUUGCAAUCUCAAAUGCUUAGGGUGGAAGAACAAAAACCUUCACUCAUAAUAAAAAGAUACAAAAGUUAUCUUCCUUGUCUCGAAGGGAAAUUUUAGCUUAUUUUUUUAAAAAAGUUAUUUAUAUUAAUUAUUUAAUAAAUUGUAGAUGAAAUUUAAGAGAUUUUAUAUAAAAAGAAACACAAUAUCUUAGCCUAUUAUAAUGAAAAAAUAAAUUUAAUUUUAAAAAAUAAAUUAAGAUCUAAUACGAAAACUAAUUUUAAUUUUUAAAUUAUUAAGGGCGGAAACAUUCCACUUAUUAUGAAAUAAAAAAGGGUUAGGUUUUAAUUUCCAAAUAAUAAAGGAAAAUUUAAGAUCUUACUAUAAAAACUAAUUUUAAUUUUAAAAUUUAAAAUUUAAAAUUUAAAAAUAAAUUAAGAUCAAAUAGAAAACUAAUUUAAAUAUACAAAUUAUUAAGGGUUGACAAGAGAUUCAGCAGAUUUUGAAAUAAGAAAGGUUGAGAUUUAUCAAAUAAAAAUUAAUAUUAUGAUUAUUUUGAAAUAAAAAAAUGAAUAAAGUUAUUAAAAUCUUUAACGAAAUAAAAAGAUGAAUAAUGUUGUUGAUAUCUUUUAAAUUUUGAGAUAUUAGGAAAAUGUUAACGAAAUAAAAAAAAUGAAUAAAGUUGUUGAUAUCUUUUAAAUUUCGAGAUAUUAGGAAAAGGUUAUGAUAGAGUUUAUUAACAUUGAAAUUAAUUACAUACUCAUAAUUGUAUAUCACAAAUUAAUUAUACUAUAAACUCAUCAUUGUAUAUCACAAGUUAAUUACACAUAAAAAAACUUUUGAUUACAACGCGAUAUAUUAAAAUAAUUACAUUAAUUACACUUUUAAACUAGAAAUUAUAAUUUAAUUAAUGUCUUUAAGUGAAAUGAACAUGUUUUGGUAUAAAAUUCUUUUCAAACAUAAUCAAUGUAAUUGUUUUUUAUUUUAAAUUCAUUUACAUCAUUAUAUGAAUUAAUGAUAUUGAACUAAUUAUAUAUAUAUAAUGUUAUAUUUUUAAAAUAAGUUAAUUAGAAUUUAAUAAAAACAUUGAAAAACAAAUAAGCGAGUUCUCACUCGAAUAAAAAGUAAAGAAAAUUUUAAUUUAAAAUAAUAAUUUGAUUAUUUUUAUAAUUUAAUGAAGGAAUGUUAUUUUGAUAUUAAAACUUAUUUUGAAAUAAAACCAAUUGUUGAAAUUCUCCUAAAUUCAAAAUAAUAAUUGGAUUAUUCUGAAACUGCGUUUUAAAAAUCAAUCGUUGAAAUUCUGACAUUCUAACAUUUAUAAUUUGGUUAUUUUGAAAUUUAUUUUAAAAUAAAAUUAAUGUUGAGAUUCUUUCACUUUUAAAAUAAUAAUUUGAUUAUCCUAAUAUUCAAGCCAUUAUUUUGAGAUAAGAUAUCAGUUGAGAUUUUUUAAUUUUGAAAUUCAAUUGGGUUAUUUUGAAAUUCAAAUUCAAUAACCGUAUUUCAAAAUUUUAAUUUGGUUAUUUUGAAGUUAGUAAGAUUGAAUAAAGUUAUUAAAAAGUUGAAUCAAUUAGUUGAGUCCCAUGAUAAUAAAAAAAAAAUAUGAUAUGAGUUGUUAUAUAUUUUUCAGGUAAAAAAUAAUUAAACGCUAAUAAACGCAUAACAUAAAUUAAUUACAAUGUAAACACAUAGCAUAAAUUAAUUACAAUGUAGAAACGAAAUAAUGAUAGUUGGAGAAGAUAGAUAUUUUGGUAUUUUAUAAAAUAACAUGCACGUGCAAAAAAAUGUUAUUUGCUAAAAUUCAGAAGAAAAAAUAGUUUUGUCAUUUUUCAAAAUGAUCCAUAAAAAUGUUGUUAUAUCUCUUAUUAUUAGUCUAAUAACCUCAUAAAAUUAGUGUUACGUUUUUAUUCUAUAAAAACAAACGAGCCGUAAGCUUUUUAUGAUACAUCAUCGCAGACAAAUCAAGAGAAGCUAAUGAUAGUGACUAAAUUUGAGAGAAAUUUUGCCUUACACUUCAGCAGUGUUUGUUAGUCAUUUAAGAAUCAAUUCGGGUUUUGAUCAAGAUGAAAUUUUAAUAGUGUGUUCUUGGCAUGAGAGACUUCCACUAGAAGGUGGAGAUUUUGUUUGGAGCCAUUUACACUUAGAAUUGAAUAGAUAGUUAGUUGCCACAUAUUUGAGAUUAUUUUAAAAAUAAUAAUAAAGGUUACUUUUCAAAUAUAGAAAUAAAUCAAAGUAUUUAUAAAAUUAAAUAUAUCAAAAUUUCUAAUUCUAAUAAUAUUAAUAGAUACUAAUAACAAAUUUUUCUAUACUUGAUUGAAUAUGUAAUUUUUUAUACCCCUAAAUACUUUUAUCAUUAAAAAUAUUUUUCAUUGUGAACGUUAUAAAAAAAAUAUUUAAACGAAGUUCAACUUAUUGAAAUAUUAUAAUAAUAAACUAAUAUGUUAAAAAUAUUUGAAUGUAAUAAACUUGUCCUCAAAACACCUACCUCAUUAAUGGCAAAAAAAAUAACCCCAUCUAUUGCUAUAAAAGGCCACAAAGUAUGAGGUUCCCAAUAGGCAAAACUCAAACUCGAAAAGCCACAAUGUUUCCCAAAUACUUUCUUCUCCUUCUUCUCGCAGUUGUGCUUCUUACCACAACUCAAGCACUGAAGCAUCCCUUCAACUCCAACCAAGAACGUAUUCCAUCCACCGACCUCACCCACGGAAAGCUCCCGACCACCAUCACUGAUCCAAACGAAGAAUCCAAAUUCUUCAGGAGGCCAUCUCCCUACAAGAAACCCUACAAGAGGCCACCCUACAAGAAGUAUCCACCCUAUAAGAAACGCCCUCCAUACAAGAAGUACCCACCCUCUUCUCACUAAAUGGCAUCCAAAACAAAAGUUGUGGCCAUGGACAAUGUGGCAUCUGUUUAAUUUCUUUGAUAAAUAAGUGGUGCUAUAAGCUCCGAGUCCUAGGGUAAUACUUGGAAGCUCAUGAAGUUGGCACUUAUGUAAUAUGUGUUAAUCCAAACUUUAUAUCUCUGAUAUAUUGUUGUAUUAUUUGUCUCUACGUUAUUAUUGCUUUCCUUAUCGUAUAAUAAUCUAAAGUUUAAAUAAAUUUACUACUUUCGUCAACUCUGUUAAUAUUUCUUUUUUUACUUUUAAGAUUGUGAUAUGAAAGUCGUAUUGAAUUCAACAUGUAAGGAGAGAGAUUUGAACUUUGAAGUGAUCUUUUUUCUAAUACAUACACAUCAAAUUAAUAUAUGUAUUUAAAUUGACAAUUUCAUAGGGCUAAUGCGAGUUAUUAAUUAAUUUAGAAACACAAAAACAUUUAAGAUAUAUUGAAUGAGAGAGCGAGAUAUUUCCUUUUAAGAUUAGAGACGACUAAUUACUUAUAUGAUAAGAAUAACACUUACGUUAACUAAAAUAUACUAAAUACUCGUGCUAAUUAAAUUAUAUGUUUUGAGAAAUUUGUAUAGGUAGAAAAAAUGUCAAACUAUUUACAUAAAUGGUAAAGAAAGAUAUUGAUAAACAAUAUUAAAGUACUUUUAUCAACCUCUAUUAAUAAUGAUUUACUUGUAUCACAGUUUUUAAAGAAAGAUAUUGAUAAACAAUAUUAAAGUACUUUUAUCAACCUCUAUUAAUAAUGAUUUACUUGUAUCACAGUUUUUAUCACUGAUAGUAUUAAUAUUAAUAGACUUCUACGAGUUUCUAUCACUCACAUAAAAGAUAAUAGAUUUAUUUUCUAGAAUUCAAUUAGUUUCUAUCCACUCAUAAACUUCUACCAACGCUUAUCAAUGUUAAACUUGUAUCAAUUUCUAAUAUUAGUUUACUUCUAUUAGUACCUAUUUGGAUAUAACCAAUAUAUAAGUUUUUACUCUUAACUUGUAGCUUGUAAAUAGCUAGCAUAACCCAUUUUCCUACCUUUAAAACCUCAUAAUUACCAAACAUAUUUUUGCUUUUUGUUUGUUGGACAAUUAUUUUUAUGUUCAUUUAAUAAUAAAAAACAAAGAACAACAAACAAUAAAACAGUUACUAUACCCUAUUCUAUUUUAUUUUUAUUAGUUGAAAAUGAGAAAAAAGAACAAUAUUAUCAAUCAAAAUGUUAACAAACAAGCUAAUUUUUUUUCUUCCAAAAAUUGAUUGUAUUUGUAAUACAUUUUGAAGUGUUUAAUUUAAAACACAAGUCAUGUUGAAAAUUUUAAAAGUGUUAUAGAAAGCUACUAGUAGCUUUUGAAACAUAGUUUUAUCCCGUUUUAUAUUUAAAAAGAUAUUAAAAUAAAAAUGAACCUUUUAAGUUAAAAAUUCCAUUUGAUAUUUCUAUUUCCAAAAAAAGAAAAAAAAACAACUCUCUAUUCUAUCCCAUCACAGAUAUGUGUUUUGUCAGUCUAAAAUAUUAAUAUUGUGUAAUCGUUUAUGAUUAUAUAUUGCUUUUGUUCAUAACUUCAGACUUCAUUUCAGUCAUGCAUGACGUUACUAUAAGAUAAGCUCACAUGCUCACAUAACUCUCUCCAUCACUCACUAUUAUUUUAGUUAUAAUCCAUCAUAAAUAUAGAUGUCUAUUAUUACGUUCAGUGUCACCCUCUUACCUUUCCCACUUGUUUGCCAAAAAUCUUGAAGAUAACAAUUUUUAGUCAUCAUAUAAUCUAUUUCAUAUUUGUCAAAUUGCCUCUCAGCAGUGUUAUUGGAUGGCUUUAGUAAAUUAUAUAUACAUCAGUGAAAUUUAUCGAGUUAAGUGGAGUAUUUUGAGAAUUCCUUAUUUUUUUUCUUUUUUAAUUUAUAUUAUUUACAUACUAUAUUUAUAUUAUUUUAAUAUUAUAUUUUUCUCGUGCUCCAAACUUAUUUUCACUUUUUUUAUAUGAGAUUUGGUACCAUUUUCUAAAACUAUUUCCAAGUAUAUACAUUGCCAUUAAUGAUGUAAAUGAUGUUAUGUAUAUGAUUUAUACUCUUACGUAUCAUGAGUCGAGUCAAUUUUAAUCCUAUUUUAAUGAUAGAAAAAAUCUCUCUAGAAGAUCGUUUGGUCCACUAACUUAUCUAAAUUAGUAUAAACAAAUCAAUUUAGUUUAAUUUAUAAAACACUAUUGAAUUUUGACAGUAUAUCGAUUAAUUUUAUCUUCUCAUACUAUAGAAUACUCAUAAAUUGAAGAAAAUCACAUAACACCGUGACAUUUGAUUACUACACAACAUAGUGACACUCGAUUAUAACCUUCAACAAAGUAAAAACCCUAAUUACAUAACACCGAACUUGAGUUGCACAUAAAUUUUUUGUCAACGUCGUGGCACUACACCCUAACACCAUGACUAUAAAAAUGGUGUCGUUUGCCCUUCUAGAGUUUAUCUCUCCAGGAUUGAAAUUGAUUCCAAUGGUUUUUGGCUCUACUUUUCUUCUUUUUUGUCAGUGCUUGUAUCAAAACUCUACCCCACUUAUUGACAUGUCAAUUGUGGGGAAAGAUAACACAUUUUCUAGCUAAUUGGUUGUAAGAUUUUUCCUAGUUGUAUAAAUGGAUAGCUAGAUUUUUUCAUAUAGAUAUCAAUGAGAUUUAAUAAUGGAUAUCUAGAAAAUUAUAAAAAAUUAAUAAGGAAGAAAAAGAAUAAAACAUAUAUAUGAAAAAAUUUAAUAAGGGACGGAAAGAAUGAAAUAAACUAAAUAUGAAAAACUAAUAAUAAAUGAUCAAUGUUCGAAACUAAACCCAUGAUUUAUGGGACGAAAAUUGUUUCAAGCACGACUCCAACCUCUCAUACCAAUGAGCUAACUACACAUUUUACAAAAUACAACAAAUAAAAUUAAAUAAAAUGGGAACACAAUUGUGAGAAAAUAUUUUCCAUAAUUUCUCAAUUUUUACCUAAAUUCGAGAAAUGCUCUUUGAUAUUUAGGAAUAAGAAAUAAGAACCGUUGUCAAACACGUCUACUUCUUAAUAAAAAAGAAACAAAUACAUGAAACAAGAAAUAAAAACGUUAUCAAACGGACUCUAAAAUUUCAGAAUUAUGUCCGGUAGCAGCCUCUUAUAUUUUUUGCCUUUUCUUAGUACAAGACGUGUCGAGUGAAAGUCAAGAUUACUUUAACGUAAUUAUAUUAAAUACAUUGGAGACUCAUGUUGAAUAAGAAAAUUUGAGACCAAUCACAAAUUGCCACAUCAUUUAUUAAGUUAACGAUGAAAAGUACAAAUAAUUAAAUUUGGGACUAAUUAAAAUUGACAUGUGCCCCAAAUUAAAGAAUUGAAAAAGAAACAUAAAUUUGGUCAUUCUAAUAAUGUCAUAUGUUUUCAUCUUAAUCGUUGGAUUAAGUUAAUCAUUUUGGUUCAAUUAAAUAUUAUUUACUUGAACUAAGUUCAAUUAAACUAAAAAAAUAAGCUUAAUUGAGCCCAAAGACUAAAUAUAACCUAAAUCCAUAUGGUUAAGUCCAUAGGUCUAGUCCAUGGAUCAACCAGGUUUAAGCUCAUAAAUCCCACCAGUGAACUCUAUAAAUAGAAGAAUUCUUCUCAUUUGUAGGGGUUGUAAAUUUUUGACUUGAGAAGACUUAGAGAGAAUUCUCCCAAGAGCUAGAAGACUUUUUAACUCCUGAAAUCGAUCAUCCUAAAAAAUUGAAGCUUCUUUGAAGAUACAAACUUUCUUCCAAGACUCCAACUUCAAAAACAUCACGUGUUUCGCUUCCUCAAAUCAAGCGUAAGCAUUCAACCAACUUGAAGAACAUCAUGUGCUUCGCUUCUCCAAAUCAAGCAUAGACGUUCAACAAACUUCAACAACAUCACGUGCUCCGCUUCCUCCAAAUUAAGCGUAAGCAUCCAGUAGAGAUAGAAUCAGAAGAUCAAAUUCUAGAGAUAGAACCACAUCGCAUCAAAUGAACAAAAAUACAACAUCAACACUCGAGUUCAAAUCCACGAAUUAAAUUUCUCCGGAAAUCUCGUGCGAACAACUCAUAAGAUUUGUUUGUAUGAUUCAAGGACCAAUUAGUUAGUUUGUUCCUUUUCCCUUCGUGAGUGAUCAAAUCAAAUCCGAGUCAUAUCAACGUGCAAUAUAAGUAUAUUAUAAAUUUAAUUUUUAAACUUUCAAAACUACUUUGGUAAAAGUUAAAAAUUUCCAAAACUUUAUCCAGAUUAAUUGCAAGUAAUUUAUUAUUGAGUAUAAUUUUGAGGACAAUUUAUUUAGAGUGCAACAAUUAUUGGACUAUGUGUUAUCUAGUAAAUUUUCAUUUACAAUUGUGUGGUUAUGUCUCACGAACAGUGACUGUUUAAUAUAAUUAACAACUUAGUUAAUCAAUAUAAUUGCUUUUAAGUUGAGGUUUCACUAGAAAAGGUAAAAUAACUCAUCAAAUAUCUCUUUAUUUCAUUUUCCUCUCUUGGUAGAUUUUUCGUCAACAUAUUCGAUUCAUUAUGUCUUUGACGAAUCUAUCAACAAAGAAUCAACUGAAAUGACAAUUCCUUCACCAAAUGAAAUUAAUAAAGGAAGAUUUGUGUUAAGUUAUUUCACUUUUAAAGUGAGAAGUCCCGAAAGGUCCGUCAGAUUAAAUGAGAAAUUUUUAAAAAUAGCAUAUUUUAUAUAAUAUUUACGAUAUAUAACAAAUUCUAUCACCGAUAAUCAUUGAUAUGCUAUAGUGAUAGAAGACUAUCAUUGAUAAAAUCCAUAAUUUUGGUGUAAGUUGUAAAUAUUUUAAUUUAUUUUUUAUUUUUAAAAAUACUCCUAAUAAGAAUUAGUUUUUUAUUUUAUAAAAACAAAGUAGGCAACAACUUUUUAAUACAUCAUCGAUUGAGAGAACCUAACUAGAGCGAGUAAAUUUGAGAAAAUUUUUGCCUUCCACUUCAACAGCAUUUGUCAAAUCAACUUGUCGAAUUGAGCUCAAAUUUUGAUAGUGUAUUCUUGGCAUGAGUGUCUUCAAACCGACAAUGAAAAUUUUAUUUGGAGUUACUUACUCAAAUCAGAUUUGAGUGAAUAGUUAUUUGUCACCUAUUUGAAGUUAUUCUAAUUUAUUAUUUGUUAUUUUUUGUUGUGUAGAUUGUUACUUUUGAUAUAAUUUUAUAUAACUCUAGUUGUGACUAGAAAGAAUUCAUUGUACACGUUACUUCGAUUAUUGCGGUAAUUUUGACUAUCGGUCAGGAAUUUUUAGUGAGACAGUUUUUUGAUGUCAAGAUUUCUAGUGUGUUCUUACUUUAUUAUUGCUUUUGUUAAUUAGUAUUUUAUUAGAUUCACACAGGAAUUGAAUUAAGUUAUACAAAAUUUUGUGGAGAUUUUAGUCGACCAAAAACCACCUUUGCAUUGAAUUAGGAUAAAAUUAAAAGAAUUAUCUCAAUGAUAUUACUUGUGAAUUAGUUUUCUAACAACUUCGUUAAAAUUUUCCGCUUCCAUUAUAAAUGUUUUCCAGUUUGGAACAAAUACUACUUCUCAACACUUCCUUCUUAAUUUUAUUUCUCCAAACAACUACUUAAUUUAUUUUCCAGUUGUAUUUGAAUUACUAAUAUUAUCAUUUGAUUUAAAUAAGACUUUUUUUUUAAAAUAUAAUAAAAUUAAUCAAAAUAAUUACAAAUAAUAGAUAGUAACGUUCACAAGGUGUGCAUCAAUUAUAAUUAAUAGUAGUCUAUUGAAAUCUAUUGACUAUUAGUGAUAGAUAGUAAUCUCAAUAGUUGUUUAUUAUUAAUAGACUGUGACAUCCUACUAAAUUUAUACACAUUCUCAACAAUUUUGCUAUUUAAAAUAAUUAUCCAAGAAAACUAAAUACAUGAUACCAUUGCUAACAAUUCAAUCUAAUUUUGUUCUUGAGAGAGAAAAAAAAAAAGAAAGAAAGAUAGAUAAACAUGAGCAUUACCAAAAUCUCCACCAUAACCGACAUUCAUAAGGUUGCAAACUACACUCUUAAUUUAGGCUAAGUAUAUUGAUAUAUUGGAGUUAAUACUUUGACAGCUUUCUUUUUAGCACAAUAAAUUUGGGUAAUGAAAAUUCUACCUCUAAUUUUAACAAAGAAGAAGAAAAAGGUAGAUAUGAAUUAUUAGAUUAGGUUGUCAUAUUAAAAUAUAGCCAAAUAAUUGAAAAAGUGAACCAAAAGUUUGAAAUAUGAAUGACUUUUGCACCAAUAUAUAUAUAUGUAAUGGUACAUGUUUUGGAUUUUUCUCUCUUUUAAUACCCAUAAAAGUUACAGUUGUCCAAUAUAAAUUUCACACUUCAUUGCCGACAAAUUUUGUACAUCUACUUUUAUUUUAUUUCUAUUAUAUAUUUCACACCUUUUUCUUUUCUUUUUUCUUAUCUAUUCUUUUAGUUAAAGUAUGUAUGUAUACAUAAAACUUUUUGGCAAUGGAUCAACUUUCAAGCUUGUAUUAAUUAAGCUUUUGAGUGUUAGGAGAACUCUAAUAUGUUGGAAGGCUUUCAAUUUGUUACGUUCCAUAUGUUUAAAUUUAAUAAUAUUGUUCUCCUUAUAACCUUUGAGAUGUAACUAAUACACUCUUAGAUGAGCUACGUAUAUUUGUUUGUCAAACUUUAUAUGUUUUUGUAUUGGUUAGUUGUUGAUUUUGUAACGUUCAUGAUAAAUCUCUCUAAAUUAUUAAUUAAAACUCAAACACCCGCACUAGUUACUAUAUUAAUUUCAUAUAAUUACACCUUCGACAUUUUUUCUCAACAAAAAUAUUUAAGCAAAACCAAAAAGAAAUAUAGGAGCGAUUGACAUAAAAUUUAAAGUUGAAGGAUCACUUGAUAUUAAAUUUAAUAAAUUCUAUGUUAUGUUUGUUAAAUCGUUCAUUUAAAAAGGUAACUUUUUAACGAUAGUAAAAUGGAUCAAACUCUUUACAAGUUAUAACAAAAUUUUCUACAAUUUAAAGUCUAGAUAGACGCAGAUAGAAGUUUAUCACUCACCGUCUAUAUUAGUGAUAAAGACUAAUAAAAGUCUAUCAUUGAUACUAAUAGAAAUCGAUAUCGGUCUAUCAUUGAUAGAGGUCGAUAAAAAAACUUUAUCUAAAAAAACUAAAAUAAUUUUUUUUAUAUAGUAUAUAUAUUUAUGUCAACUAAGCUACACUCGUAUUGACAAAAGUUGAAUACAAAUUUAAUAACGUGAAAAUGUUGAUUUAAUAUUAAAUUAUGUUUGUUAAUCAACACACGUUUUGUAUCAAGAUCUUCUAUCCUGUGCUUAUUUUUGCACAAUUAAUAUUCUAAUAAUUUUAUUUAUAAAGCACAUAAACAUAUCAACUAAAAUGGUGUUUGGUAGGCUUAAAAGUUGUUUCCUAUUUUAAAAAAAGUUAAAUAGUAAUGAAAAGAAAAGGAAUGAAUAGUUUUUAAUAUAUAUUUUAGGUUAAUUUGUCUCUAUAAAUGCAGGCGGCAUUCUUUUCCAGCUCCUUCAUCACAAACAUGUCUUCUUCCAACUACUUGUUAGCUCUACUUCUUGGGUUACUCUCCGUGGUUCUCACCAAGCCCGUUGUUGGUGAUUACAUCCUCAAUCCUCAACCUCCCCAUCCACCAUUCAUUCCUAUUUACGAACCACCAAAACCUCCGGUAUUUCCUAUUUACGAACCACCAAAUCCUCCAAUACUUCCAAUUUACGAGCCACCUAAACCUCCCGUUGCUCCAAUUUACAAGCCACCCAAGCCGCCAGUGAGUCCAAUUUACAAGCCACCUAAACCUCCAGUUGCUCCAAUUUACAAGCCACCCAAGCCACCAGUGGGUCCAAUUUACAAGCCACCUAAACCUCCCAUUGCUCCAAUUCACAAGCCACCUAAGCCGCCAAAGCCGCCGGUGGGUCCAAUUUACAAGCCACCGAAGCCUCCGGUAGUUCCAAUUUACAAGCCACCCAAGCCACCAGUGAGUCCAAUUUACAAGCCACCUAAACCUCCCGUUGCUCCAAUUCACAAGCCACCGAAGCCUCCGGUAGUUCCAAUUUACAAGCCACCUCAACCUUCACUGGGUCCAAUUUACAAGCCACCCAAGCCGCCAGUGGGUCCAAUUUACAAGCCACCAAAGCCUCCGGUAGUUCCAAUUUGUAAGCCACCUAAACCUCCAGUUGCUCCAAUUUACAAGCCACCCAAGCCACCAGUGGGUCCAAUUUACAAACCACCAAAGCCUCCGACUGUUCCAAUUUACAAGCCACCUAAACCUCCGGUUGCUCCAAUUUACAAGCCACCUAAACCACCAAAGUCGCCAGUGGGUCCAAUUCACAAACCACCAAAGCCACCGAUGGUUCCAAUAUACAAGCCACCUAAACCUCCAGUAGUUCCAAUUUACAAGCCACCAAAGCCUCCAGUAGCUCCAAUUUACAAGCCUCCAAAGCCUCCAAUGGCUCCCGUUUACAAGCCACCAAAGCCUCCAGUUGUUCCAAUUUACAAGCCACCCGAACAACCAGUAGGUCCAAUUUAUGAACCUCCAAAACAUCCAGGAGAUCCCAUACACAAACCGCCAGUGCCAAUUGACAAACCAUCUCUACCGCCACCAUACUCUUACAAUCCUCCGUACAAUCCGCCACCAUCCAACUGAGUUCGUGUGUUGAGUGAAGCAACCUAAUUAAGCUGAAUUAGCAUAUAUAAAUAAGAGCUUUUGGCUACUCAAUGUUCUAUGCUUAUUGUGCUCAUCUUUCUUCUUUGUAAAGCAGAGCAUGAGCAGGCCAUUUGGUUUAUGGCGUUUCCAAAAUUAUUUCUACCUUGUUGAUGGUGUUUCAGAAAUUAUUUCUACUUACUCUUCUGGUCUAUUUUUCAUGUUUUCACUUAUUGGAAAUUUCAUAAUAAAAUCUUAACUACAAUCCCACAUUGUAUUUAUAAUCCUCUCUGUCUUGAGUGAGCCUUACUCCUAAAUGUUAUUAUCAAGGUAUUGUCUUUUUAGUGUAUCAUUGAAAUAAAUAAACUCAAACCACAAACUUCUUGAUCGCUGUAAUUUGUGUAAAACACUAGUUAAAGAGGGUGUAUGAAUUAAUGUAAGUUAAAUCAAAUUCAACUAAGAGGAAUCUUAAAGAUUAUUAAAUUAUGGUUAAGAAAUAUGUUCAAAAGAAUUUAAAGUUGUUAUCCUACACUAACCAACAAGGUGCCUCUUUCUUUCUCAAUGGUUUGAUUACGAAAACUUUAAAAAGUCUAUUAUUUUUAGUAUGAAGUAAUUCUAUGUUUGAUGACCUCUUAAAAUAUGUUAUAGAAAGCAUGUGAAUGAGAACAAAACAUCGUACCAUGAUUUUGCUAGAGGUUCUAAGAAUUGUAAAUUAAUUUAGUUAAAUUUGUUCUUGGAGACUAUAAUUUUCUUUUGAAUUUUGUUGGGCGUGUGAAAGAGCAAGAAACUUGGUACGUUUUUUAAAUGAUGCAUAGAGGGAGGCUUAAUAAAAUGAGGAGAGAGAAUUUCAUUAAAUAAGGAAAGUAGAGAAAGGGGAGAGGGGAGAGGGAGAGGGGAGGGGAAUUUUGUAUUUGAACAGUGGAGAGAUAAAGGGAAAAUAGGGUUUUGGUUUAAGAUGAGGAAAGAGGGAAAACACAAAUUAAUAUUAAUGAAGUGAGAGAAAAAAUAGACAUUUAAAUGAUGAGUGAUUGAUUUUAGAGAGAAGGUAGAGAGUAUUAUUCUGGAGAAAGAUUCAUGGGUUCUCAAAUUAUUAUACAACAUCAUAUUUGGCUCUAUUUAUAAAUAUUUUCAUAAAUUUUAAUACUUAAAAUAUUUUUCCAAACAAACAUUCAUCUCUUUAGUUUAGGAUUUGACGUUGUUAACCCUAUGUUUGGAUUCGAGAAGGUUGAAAGAAAAAUUAUUUUAUUUGGAAUGAGAAAGAUUUUAAAUAAAUAUAUUUAAAAUUUCAUGUUCAAAUGUUAAUUGGGAAUAAAAAAAAGAAGGUAAAUUAAGAGUUUACUAAUACUUUUAAUGUAUUAGUUAAAAAUUAGAGAAGGAUGAGUUCAAUUAUGUAAUUUACUUUUAAAUCUGGUAAAUUAUUUUUAAAAAAUUAAGCAUUUUGGUACAAAUUGUUAAUUAGGUUAGUGUGUUUUUUUCACUCCUUGAGCACUUUGAUAACAUUUAGACUUUGAUAAAGGAUUGAUAACAUUUGGACUUUGAUAAAGGAUUGAAUGAAACGGGUAAAAGGUGCUGCCACUUAGAAUUUAAAAAAGCGAGCAAGAUUAGUGUUUUCUUUUAAUACUCUUUUUGUUUUUGGGGUUUUGAGUUUAGUUUUUAUUUGAUUUCUAUAUUUUGAAAUAAAACUGUUUGUCCCAUCUAUUCGAAGGAUGCUAAAUUUUAGUCUUUAAUAUAAUAAAAUGGAUGGGUAGUGAAUUGAUGAAAGAUUAAGUUAUAUAGGGAUGAUGAUUGGAUUAAUUUAAAAGCAAAACAUAUAUUUAUAAUGAAAAGACGUUCCUAAUAUUGAAAGGGCAAGAAGAAAAUGGAAUUGAGAGGAAGAAACUUUGACGCUUUUUGGAUCACUUGGGUCCAAAAGUGAUCCAGAAAGUAAUAGGCAGACGGGGAGGGAUUUAGAGUAAACUAAAAACAUUCAAUUCAGACUUUUUUAUAAAAAAAAUUAUUUAAUUACCUUCUCCUACUUUUGUGGAUCCUAAAACCUCAGCAAUAACUACAAAGCAGCCUCAAGAAGUACCUAACUUCUUCAAACGCACAGAGUACGUAUUUCAUUAUUUAAUUUUGAGCUUCUGCUUCUAAUUUACAACAGGUUUGUUUCUCAUGGGUUAAUUCUUUUGUGCUUUACUUACUUGACCCAUUAGGGUUUUGUGUCGAUUAAUAGUUUUAUGUUUUAAGAGCUUUUUGGGGAAAACUAUUUGCAGGGAUAAAAUGAAUACAGAAAAUUGGGUUGAGAGUGUUUUAGUGAUUUGUGCUUUUCUUUUCCAACAGCUCCAUCGUUUCAUUUUUCGUCUUCUUCUGCAUUAUUGUUGUUUGCUGAUAAAGAUUUCUACCUCUCAUUUAUACUUUGCAGGGUGGAUUUUGAUCGAAACUAAACUCAAAGACUUUGGACCAAAAUGAUAUUUUUGGUGCAUAGCCGAUGGAUACAGCUGGAGUGGCAAGUGGAUGAAACUUAAAUCUUUCUAAUGUAAGAGUGAAUGCAAAACAAAGGCAUCCAAAAGUUCUGAGAGAGUUGUAAUCUUCUUGUUGGCCAAAAAGGCAAUACUGAGGGGUUUGCAACUGUAUGAUUGAUGAAGGUAAUCUGUUGAUUAGGUAGGCACCAAUCGUGAGACAGUCUCCUUAGAAUUUUAUUGACACUCGUGACUGAAAAAUGGAGUUUGUGAGACAUUUAGUAAGUGUUGAUGCUUCUUUUAACUAUGAAGCUUUUUUCAAGGCAGCCAAGACAUGAGUAUUGAUGAAUGACUCUUUUGGUGUUGAAAAAUUAUGUAAAGAUUCAUUCUGGAGCAUUGUCAUAUCAUAAUUUCUUCACAACUCCAAACUGAUUUUCUAUGAGUUUGAAGAAUUUUGGAAUUAUAGACAAUACAUCUUACUUUCUUUUAAGAAGAUAUAUCCAGAUAUAUGUUGAAAAAUCAUCUACAACUGUUAAGAAAUAUUAUUUAUGUUCACCUCUAGUGAGAGAUUGAUAGGGACCCCAUAUGUCACAAUGUAAAAUAUCAAACAUUUUAUUGCAUAUAUAGUUGUUUGAUUGAAAUGGUAACUUUUUUGUUUAGCUAAAGGACAUACUAAAAUUGUCUUGAGAAGUUUCAACAAAUAUCAAAUCUUUCAAGACAUUUACAAGUUUGCGAGAGAGGUGGUCAAGUCUGUUGUGUCAUGUAUGAGAAGGUAUAGAUGGUGUCGAAACAACAUUACAAUGAUAACGAGUUUGUAGAGUGGUUUGAAAAUCAUGUAAGUGAGAAAAGACAAUAGCUAUGAUAUUUAUUUUUCUAUACAAUUUCUACUUAUUUUUAAAUAUGAAAGUAUUUUCUACGUGGGUUACUAAAUAAUAUAUUGAAGUUGGCAAACAGUUAUUAGACUUAUCUCAAGGUCCAUCACAAGAAGUAACACACUCUACAUGAGGUACAUUGUUGAUGGAUUUAGAUUUUGUAUCAAGGAUGUUGAUAAUUUAAGAAAAACACAAAAUAGUUAGGGUGGUUGAGAGAGUAACUGAUAAUCAAAAUUACUUUGGUGUAUUACAAGAUAUUAUUGAAUUGCAUAUAUGGGUGAAUAUAUCAAUAGACUUGGAAAAGGAAUUAGAAACUGAUGAUCAUCGAAUAACUAGUGUGAAUGUGACAUACACAUUUGCUACAAAUAAGCCAUUUGUAUUAUCAUGUUAAUCUAAACAAGUUUUUUACCUUGAAGAUAGAAGAAACUCGAUUUGCCAUUUUGUGUUGAAAAUUGAUCCAAUAGAUUAUUACAAUCACUACAAGAAAGUAGAUCUUGCCCGAUACAACCACAUGUCGAAAAAGCUACAAUUCGCGUCGGAAAAGGUAUUUUCGACGUUUGAAGCGACCUCAAAAGCCACACGUCAGAAAAAAGUGUACUAUUAAUUUUAAAACGUCACCUUUCCUGACAUGGGGCAGAGGGAUGUUGGUAAAGGUUGACAUUUUAAAUUAAUAUUUAACUUUCCUCGACGUCACAUUGAUACACGUUAGGGAAGAUUCAAUAUUCAUUUUAUAUUUGAACUUUCCCCAACGUCCCUCUGCCUCACAUUGGAGAAAGUUCAAUGUUAAAUUAAUAUUCAUACGUUCCUCAACUCCUAUUUUCCAUUCGUCGGGAACAUGUCUUAUGUAGAUGCGACUAUGCAUGUAUCAACGUUGGGUGGUCAACGCUGACGAAGGGUUUGCCAACCUUAUGCCGCAUUGAAAUUUCUCUAAUUUCUUGUAGUGAAUGUCCUCUUGAUCAUAGAAGGUUAUUGUCAAGAUGGUGAAAAAGAUGACAAUAGAUGAAUUUAGAUGAAGAGAGAAAGAUGUAAUAUGAAGCUAACAAUCUUGGUGUUUUUUCAUCCGAGAUGAAAUGUAAUAUGAAGCUAAUAAUUUUGGUGUUUUUUCGUCCGAGAUGAAAUGUACCCUUAAGCUAAUAAUCUUGGUGCUUUUUCGUCCAAUAAGGUAUUUAGAUGAAGAAUGAGUAUUUAUUUGAAAGCAUGAGUUUGCUUAUUUGUGAAUGAGAUGAGAAUUAGAUUUUGAUAUUUAAAAUAUCUUUUGAAUUAUCCAGGCCUUACCAUCUUGAGGUAGAUUUGUGUAAAAGAUGAAAAUAGUGUGAACCAAAUUGAAUAACAAUGAUAGUACAAAUAGUCACGACUGCAUCUACAUCUAAUCAAAUAGUUGGUGAUCACCAAACUUCAACAAAAUCUAAUGCAAAAGCGGAUUUAGGAGCUUCAUCAUUGUUUAUACAGGUGAAAUUAGAUCAACUACGUACUACUCAUGAAAAGUUUGUUAAUAGAGAGGUAACAUUAUUCAUUGUUAUACGUACAUAUUAUUAUUUAUGUAUGAUUUGUUACUUACUUUUUUCUUUUUCAUUUUACUUUAGAGUUUUCUUUUGAAAAAGGAAAGGUACGUGGCCCCACACGAAAUCUCAAACUUGUUAAACUACCACAUGGGAUGAGAUUUGUAGUAUCGUGGUGGAAGAAAUGACCCGUUACGAAUAUUACUAAUAUCUUCAAAAGCCAAUGCACUCUCUUAACUAGACAUGUCAACUUUACUCCUUUACGAGUGAAAACUUGAAAAGAUAUUGAUAAACUGAAGAAAAAAAACUAAUUGAACUUAUAGUGGUAUGUGAAAAAAUAAUAACUUUUUUCUUUGAUUAAUUUACUUCUUAUAUAAUUAGAUUACAACAAUCAUUUUCCUUGCAAAAGCGAUUUAAAUUAAAGUUGAAAGUCACGAAGCUUCAAUGUUGCUUCAAAUUAAUCGAUCUUAUAAUAAUUGGAGGGAUCGUUUAAAGAAAAAAUGGUUGAGCAAAUAUGAUAGAAUUAUAGAAGUUUUAGCAAAUAAUCUAUCAGAAAUUACAAAAGAAGAUGCAGAAUAUCUUGCGAAGUUAUGAAAGUCAGCUGAAUAUCAAGUUGUAAUCUAAUAUCUUUUUCUUGUACAUCCAAAGAAGUUGUACUUACUAAUUUAAUUUUUAUUGAUGCUUAUAUUCUACUUUUGAAAUGCAAUAGAUAUGUGUGUGAAAGAAAUCAAAAGAACUGCUCUAAGUUGAAUGUAUAUCACACGUGUGGUUCACAAAGUAUACAAGAAAGAGUUGAAAAAGAGGUAAUUAAAUGAAAAAUUAUAUAAACUUCUUUUAAUUUUGUGAAACUAUCUAAUAUAUAUUAUUUUCACUUAGGUUCAAGACAUGUAAUGAAGAACCUAGCUAGUCGAAUUAGAAUUUGGGAGCUAACUCAACUUGACCAAUAAUGAAUUGCUUGUGAAUAAAGCUACACAAGAGAAACUUGUAAGUACAAAAUAAUUAAUAUAUAUGAUGUAGCUAGAUUGUGUUAUUAUUUAAUCACCAUAAUUAAGAAUAGCGAAAUUGUUUAUAUUGCUCUGCUUAUGUAUUAUUUAACCAUCACUCGUGCGUUUUGAUUUUGUAUAAUUGGAGCUUCAUGUUCUUUCUAUUUAUGUUGCUCUGUUUAUGAUAGGAAAUAUAAUUUUGUAGUUGGAACUGUAUAUGUUGCUCUAUUUAUGAUUUUGUAUCAUAGUUGUUGUAUGGUGGGUGCAAAACUUAGCGUAGAUCAACACAUGAAUUCAUAUUUGUGUUAAGUUUUGAAUUAUUAAAUGUGAAUUUUUGUUUUGUAGUCUGAACUUAAAUCGUAUGCUUCUCAAGUGAUUGAUUGUACUUUUGAAGUGAACGAAGAUGAUAUUUUUGUACAAGUAUUUGGACUGGAGAAACGCGGACGUGCUCGUGGUUAUGAAGUAGGUGUUACCCCUUCUAAGUUGUUUGGAUCAUCAUCUAAGGUAAAAAAUCUUGAGUGUCGUCUUAAUGAGUUUGAAAAAUAUCUUCACGAAUUUUAAUGACAAAGAAAAUCUGAGGUACAAACACUACAUGAUAGAAUUACCGAAUUAAAAAACCGUUUGAAGGAUAGAUUCCAAGUUAUGAUGGCAGAUAUGCAAUCAUGUUUCUAGUUGAUCGUCUGUCAUAGUUUGAUGUUAUAGAAGUUGAAUCGUCUCUUGUUAUGUAAUUUUACGAUAAACUUACUAGCUUUCAUCCAAGUCAUUGAUUAUUUUUUCUAUUUCAUUUUUAUACAUUGUAAUUCGAUAUUCACCAUUAGGUAAUGGAUUAGUAAAAACAACAUUUUGAUUGUAAUUCAAUAUUCACCGUUAGGUGAUGGAUUAGUAAAAAUAACAUUUUGAUAUUUGUCAGUAAAUGUGUUAAAAGGUUUUGUGAGAAAAUUUUCGAAAGAUUUAUACAUUUGUUGAAAAAGUUCUUUUAUAAAAACUUCAAAAAAAAAUCAUUUAGAUAAUAAAUAUUUAUCGAUGAAUAAUUUAACCGUUAUCAAAGGUAUGUGUUACCUUUAAAAGUUAUUAAUUAUUAAUUAGUAAAACCUUCGAGAAUUAGUAAUUUUCAAAAGUUAGUAAAUCUUCGAAAAAGGAUUUUCGGCGGGAUCUACUUCGACACAUUUCAAAGGUUGAAAUAACCUUUAGCAGAAAAUGUAUGAAAGGACUAUUAAAUAUAUUUUGGAAGGUUGUGGCAUUCUGGAUUGUUUUUUAGUGUCCAAGUAUUUGUUAAAAUCACACUUUUGAUUUUAUUAAUCACCCACACAAUUAUUUUAUUCUAAAUUUUCUUCUUCAAUGAUCCACUCCUUUCUAAUUAAAUUAUCUUUGUAUUUUGUGUUGUGUAUUUUUGUAGGUGGAUUGAAUGAUCUUGUAUUUUUGUAGGUGGUCUUCAAAUUUUAUACUCGUUACUUUAAUCUUCCAAACCUUAAUCCAUCUUGUAUUUUGUUUACUCUUGAGUAAUUACUUUGUGAUGUAAUGAAUUAUAAAAUUUCAAUUAUGAGAUGAAAUUUAAAUUGUUAUGAUACAAAUAUAUGUUUUUUACCUACCAUUUAGGUUUCGUUAAAACAUUAUCCACGACUUUGUUUUAUUUGAAUGUUUGAAAAUAAUUGCUUAAUUAUUAUCGAUUUGGGCUAUAAAUUUUAGGCUACAUUGGCAAAAAAUAACAAUAACAAAUAAAAAGUAGUGACAUUUUUAAAAAUUAUAAAAUAAAUAAAAUAUUUACAAUCUAUAGCAAAAUUUUGGAUUAUAUCAAUAAUAGCAACUGAUAGACUUCUAUCAUUGUAGCAUAUCAAUGACUAUCAGUGAUAAAAUUUAAAAAUUUUGCUAUAGGUUAUAAAUAUUUUGUAAAAUUUGUUAUUAUUGAAAUUUUUCUAAAAAGUAAUAAUAAAAAAAAUUGUCUAGAAUAAGUUAAGUUUGAAAAUAAUUGGAAAGACUCACGUGGUUGAAGGACUCUACCUACUUUACACACACUAACCAUAUAGAAUGUUCUCUCAUUGAGCAUUCUAUAUUUAUAUAUGUUUAAAGGCGCAACUAAUGUUUGACAUCAACGCUUAGGACAUCCAUCUAUUGCUUGAUUGAAGGAUUUGUUACAACUAUGAAAGGUCCUGAUCGCCUUUAACCUUAUGCGAUGCAUGUGACAAAGAACUGAUUAUGCAAUGAGACAUCUUUGCAUUGAAGGCUACGCGAUAAACUAUUAUGCGUUUGAACUUAUUUCACUGGGAUGUAGUGUGACGUCACCCUUAUGUAAGGAAGUUGGUGAUUGAUUUGACAUUGCCACCCAUUCAUCAAAAUUUAGAAUAAGGACGUGGCACUAGUAGGUGCCAAUUUGACAAUGGAUCAUUCCCAUCGUCGGACAAAAGUAAUCAUUUCAGCAUUAGAAAGUGUUGCUGGAAAGACUUUAUAAAUAGGUGAAGUCCAGUCAUUUUGAAGCUUCUUUUACCUUGAGCUUAAUUAAGAUAGAAUCGAGAGAAUUUCCAAGAUUUUUCAGAGAGCUUGAAUUUGGCAAGGAGUUGAAAAGAAGAAUAACAAGGUGCAUAUGUAUGUUAGAAGAUCCUUUUCCGACGCGUUUUGCUAAAUAUACUGACGUGUGCCUGCAUUGAAAGAGCCCUGUAUUCUUGUAGUGGAUGUUCUAUUCUUUGAAGACUUAUCGCCAUAUCAAACUCAAAAUGGAGAUACCACCAACGCCACCCCUGGCUUCCUGGAUCAUUUUGUACUUCCUUGUCCGAUUUUUGAUACAUCUAAAGCUUACUCUAGCAGCAGAUAUGGUGUUUUACUCUUUGGUUCACCAUCCAAUAUUCAAUACAUUUAUGAAAGUAAUGACUUCAAUGCAAUAAAACCUUGAAUAAUGACAUAUAACAAAAUCUUGAAAGUGCUCCAAAUACUGAAUUUGUGAAGCUGUAAUUGAACCUGAAAACAUGCCCAAAUCUAUUAUAUCUCUGAGGAGGAUCUCAGGACAAACUCAUCCUCCUUCAUAUCUCAAAGAUCACCACUGCAAAGUUAGAUUGUUAUUUUCUGUUGUAUUAGUUGUAUUAGUUAAUAUGUUAGACAGUUAUUAGUUGCUACCAAGCAUCUAUAAAUACCAAGUUUGGUUGAUGUAAAUAUUUUCAUAUACGAAAAUAAAAGAAUUUAUUGCAGUCACUGAGUUUUCUUCCAAAUUCUGCUUCCUCUGUUAUGGUAUCAAAGCUAUUUCCGCAAAGAAGAGUUGCAGAAUAAAACCCAAACGUCCUUUACCCUCGUGCAAUCUACAGUAAUGACGGCACCUGAGAGUUCGACGUCUGGCAACUCCAACCACUCAGUUUCGAUUACCUCUUCUGAUCUUGACGCCCAACUAAAUUCCUUCAUGCUUCAUCAUUCCAUCACUCCAACCACCAACCUUGUUUCUACACCAUUGGCAGGAGCGAAUAACUACUCAUCAUGGAGUAGAGCAAUGAUGCUGGCGUUAUCUGGAAAGAACAAAGUUGGGUUCAUCACCGGCCUGAUCAAGAAACCUUCAGAAGGUAAUCUAUUAUCCGCUUGGAAAUGCAACAAUGAUGUGAUAGCUUCUUGGAUUAUCAACUCUAUUUCGAAAGAGAUAGCAGCAAGCCUCGUUUAUAAUGGAAACGUAAAGGAGAUGUGGGAUGAAUUGAAAGAAAGGUAUAAACAGUCCAAUGGACCUCACAUAUACCAGUUACGAAAGGACCUAGUAACCACUACACAAGGAAGUUUAUCAGUUGAAAUAUACUAUGCAAAAAUCACCACUAUAUGGCAAGAACUUGUGGAAUAUCGUCCUAUGGAUGAAUGCACUUGUGAAGGAUCAAAGAAAAUGAUCGAUUUCUUGAAUGCAUAAUUCGUAAUGACAUUUCUCAUGGGAUUAAAUGAAUCCUAUUGGCAGAUUAGAGCCCAAAUUUUGUUGAUUGAUCCUUUACCUCCCAUAAAUAAAGUCUUUUCUCUAAUCAUCCAAGAAGAAAGACAAAGAUCCAUUGGAUCUUCACCCUUCAUUGAGAGCAUCACAUUGAUGACUAACUCUGAAAGAAGAUUUUCUUCUGAUAAAUCCAAGAAGAAAGAUACAAGACCUAUAUGCUCCAACUGUGGCUAUAAAGGACACACUGCUGACAAAUGCUACAAGUUACAUGGCUACCCACUCGGACAUAGACUUGCCAACAGCAAUAAUUCUGUCUAUGAAAGGCAGAACAACACAAUCCAAGAUGGAAAUGACAAAAUGACAGAAGUUUCUAAGAGCAAUCAAUCUGCCUUUUUUGCUAGUCUCAAUAGUGAUCAAUAUACACAGCUUCUGGGCAUGCUUCAAACUCAUCUGAACACACCUCAAAAUGGUGAGAAUUUAAAAAAUGAGACUACACACAUAGCAGGUACUUGCCUCUCUAACUCACUCAAUGAUCCCUUAACAUGGAUCAUUGACUAUGGUGCUUCCUCAUAUAUUUGCCACGACAAGUUUAUGUUUACAAAUCUCUAUAGCGCCCAGAAUAUGUUUGUUAUCUUGCCCACUAAGACUCGUCUAAAGGUUGAGCAUAUAGGAGAUGUUUUCAUAUUAAAUGAUCUAGUCCUGAAAGAUGUACUUUAUAUUCCUGACUUCAAGUAUAACCUGCUGUCAGUAAGUACUCUCCUUAAGGAUGACAAAUUUGACAUAUCAUUUGCUGAUUCUAAUUGUCUUAUUCAGGACAAGUGGCUUUCGAAAACGAUUGGGAAGGUUGAAUUAACUAAUGGGCUCUACCUACUCAGAAUGAAAAAUGAAAGAGUUAAUUGCAUUCAACACACUACACUAAUGUGUAAAGUCUCGGCCUCUAUGUGGCAUAAACGGAUGAGACAUCCCUCUAUCAGCAGAAUAAAGGAGUUAGCUAAGAUGAUACAAAUUUGUAUAAUGAUGAAAUUUGAAAUAUGAAAUUUGUAAAAAGAAUAAUGAUGAUUUUAUAAGUUUUUUUUUUUAAUACGGGAAAUAAAUAUUUUUGAAUUUUAUUUAUAUACGUGUAAAUUAACCUUUUUAAAAUGUUACUGUUGGGUAGGAUACACAAUUUUCUUUCUCACUGCCUACAUUAAAAAAAAUAUAUUAAAAUAAUUAUAUAAAAAAAGGAUAUGAUUAAUUGUAAUUAAAUAUAUUAGGAUAGAUGUGGUUGGAAUGCAUCAAAAUAUUGUAUUUCCAUAAUUAGAUGAGGUGUGAGGAAAUUUUGUGAUUGGAAAGUGAGAAGAGGGAGAAGAGGGAGAAGAGGGAAAAGAGGGAUUUGGGUUGCAAAGAGGGAAAAGGGGGAUUUGGUUUGGAAAUAGGGAAAAUACAAAAUCAAUCAAGUAAUAGAAAAUUUGAAAAGAGAGAAUAUUGGAUGAGUUUUCAACACUUCGUACAUACCUAAAUUUAAAUGACUGAUUCAAACCGUUGCUUAAAUUUGUGUCAAAUAAAUUUUGUAAAUAUAAAAAUUUGUUCAUUAUAACCUUUUCAUCUGACCAAUUUAAUUGCUUAACAUAUUUAAAUUGUCCUAAAAAUGGUUCUAAUUCAACUUGUGAGAGAAGAGGAAGUGGAAGAGGAAGAGUUUGAGGGAAGAAGGAGAUGUAGAAGAUGUGAUUGAAGUAAAAGAUGUUUCUUUUUAGAAAAAUGGGGGCAAAAGGUAAGUCUAAGAAUAAGAAGUGGUAAUUGCUGAUGAUUUUAGAAAACUUGGGAAAAAUAGUGAGCCAAAGUUUUUAGAAAUUGUUGGAAAAGGUAAAAUGUUCGUUUUAAUUCUUAUCGGCCACAUAACUUUCCUUCAUAGAUAAUAAAAGUUUAUGCCCAUGUACGUGGGCAAAAACUAAAAUAAGUGUUUGCAAAAAUUCCACCUAGUAAUUUUUUGGACGCCACAAAACAUUUUGCCCUUGUAUAUAUUUUUGUUGGCAAAAACAAUGAUGUGCUAACAUAAUGAAAAUGUGUUGGAAAAACAUAUCUCUACCGAUAUUUUUUGUUAUGUUGCCAACGAAAAUUGUCUCCAAAUUAUAAAUUUUUUUUGUAAUUUGUACUUGUUGUCCCUAUUUUACUUGUUAAGAUGCAUCCUCAAAGGAGGCUGAAAUUCUUGCAAUCCACGAGGCAAGUGAGAAGGUGUAUGACUAAGAUCAAUGACUCAGCACAUUCGUGGAACAAGUGGCUUGUCUUCUAGUAAAAAUUUCCCAAUGAUAGUAUAUGAAGACAACACAAUAUGUAUAACUCAAAUCAAAAUAGAUUAAUUAUAUUAAAGGUGAUAGAACAAAACACAUUUCAUCAAAACUUUUCUACAUUCAUGUUCUUGAAAAAAAUGAUGACAUCACAACACAAUAAAUUUGUUCAAAUUAAAGGAUAACCUGACAGAGUUAUUAACAAAAUCACUACCUACCAUUCUUGAAAAACUGAUGUGCACAACACUGAAAUAAGACGACUCAAAGAUCUUAAGCGAUGUUUCAAAUGAGGGAGAGUAAUUGUACUUUUGUAAGUGUAUUAGAUUAUAUGAAAUAUAUAUUCUUUUUCCUUCAUUAACAUUUGUUUUUUACCUGUAAAUUUAUAUUUUAUAUAAGUAAAGAUCAUCUAUGGGGAGUAUUAUAAUUAAAUAUUAUGAUAAUAUGUGUCAAAUAGAUACUAAUCUUUAGUGUCUAUAGAUGACUUCAAUUCUAGCCAGAGAUGACUUCAAUUACUCAAACAGAAUUUCUAAAUUAAUUAGAUGGGUUUUCCUCAAGUUUUUAAGGUCAAUUUUCAAUUUCCAGAACGGAAUUCAUUUCUAAACCUAGAAACAAUAAGAUAACACUCGAAAUUUGAAAGAGAGAAAUAGAAAAUUAGGGAUUAAGGACGUACUAGAAGCAAUUUGAUGAUGUUGCUAGCACUGAAGAUACAGUGAGCAAUGGUGAACUUGAGAAGCUCAGAGGGAGGAAAAUAGGCCGCCAAUACACAUUUCUUGGUGCAUCUCCAACGGUGAAUCUUGCACGCCGCAUACGAACUAAGCACCACGAAGGCCUGAAUGGUCGGCGACGGUGAAGGAGACGCGAUGACGAUCGAAAAAGGAGAAGAGUUGAAGUCGAACUGCAAUUUACCUUAGUAGAAGAGCUGAGGGAGAAUGAGAAAGUGAGGGAGAAGGAGAAAACCAUGCAAGAAGAGAAGAGGAGGGAGAAGAAAAAGGAGAAAAUGACAAUGACCCAAAGUUAAUUUUUAGGUUUAUUUUAAUUAAAAGGUAAUAUAGACUUUUCACAACUUAUUUGUCCUAAAAGUCUUAUUUUUGAAAAACUCAUCUCAAAACUCUAUAUACCCAUCCAAAUAAUCUCAUUGGCAAUUUCCCAGCAUGGUUUAGAUACUGUUGUGAUUCUUGCUCAGAGCGAAUUGUUAAGACUCAGAGUAAUUUUAGAAAAAGAGAAGAUGUAGAGGAAAAGAAAAUACUAUAAAUGAAGUAAUAUUAAGUUAGUGAGAACUGAGAAGAAAACAUAAUUAAUAAUUAAUUAGAAAGAAGGCAUAUUCUGUGCCAAAAAGAAUAAACCUAACUUGAGAGCUGGUUGGAUUGUAAAUUUGUAUGUUCAAUGAUGAGUGGUUGGUGGAAUUUGACCCUUUCUUUGACUUUGACUAUUUGACUAUUUGACCAUUUGACCCAAUUAUUCAACCUUUUAACAGUCUUAACUUUCAAAGUUUCACAUGAGAAACUCAACUGCAUAUAUACCAUUUUCUUUAAAAAUAUACAUCUAUAUAUAUUUCCAAUUAUCAUUAAAAAAUGUUACGUUUAGUAAUACUUAUAACCAGUUUUGGUAAACUGAGUAGAAUUUCAUUUCAAUAAUUGAAGUUUAACAGAAUAUACUUUAGUAAAAUAUAUGUACAUUAUCACCUUUCUCUAUUUGUUGUAUAACAUUUCCUACUUCUAUGUGUGUAUGCAUAUGCAUGUUUACUUUGCAUGCCAUUGUAUUAAAAAAGUAAUUAUAAUUUAUAGUAAUUUUAAAAUUAAUAAUUCAAUAUAUAAUAACCUUUUAAAAAAAUUACAAAUAUAGUAUAAUCUAUCACUCAUAGACUAAAGUACUCUUAUAGUCUGACCAAUAUUUGUAUUCCAAUACGAUCUAUCAAUGAUAAACUUUAUUAUUGAUAAGACUUUGAUAAAUGUUUUAAAACUUUGUUAUAUAUUUAACUAUUUUGAAUCUAAUGACUAUAUUUGCAACUAUACAUACAAACAAUAUCAUAUUUUAGAAAUAAAUAUCUUUUUAUAAUAAGUAUAUUUAUAAAUUAAAAUAGUAAUAUCGUUGGUAGGGAGGCUCGCAUACCAUUUUGUAGGUUGUGAUUUAAGGUAAUUUUAAAUUUUAGUUAUUUUGAAUUUUUUAAGGUAUAAGUUGGAUUAUCUAGGAUUAGAUUAUGAUGGAUGUUAAUUAAGUUGAAUUAGAAGAUUAAGAAAAAUGUGCAUUUGGUGGGAUGUAAUAUAGAUUAAAUAAUUGUAUAUAUUUAUAUAUAAGGUUCUAUAUGUUGAAUGGGAGAUAAUAUAAAAAUUUGACACAAAAAUAACGAUGACAUUUACGUUUUAUAUAUAUGUAAUUAAUUGUUGGAAAGGAUUGUGUUUAGGAGAAAAUUAGAUAUAUAUUUGUAUAUGUAUAUUUAAUUAGAUAUAAAAAGGAUUUUGUUAGAGUGGUAUAAAAAUAUAUUUUUUGUUAAUAUUUAUUUUAGAAAAGGAAAAAGUAAAAAGGUAAACAAAGUUUAAGCAUUUAAUGUAGUGAGCAUCCGUGCAUUUUACCUUCGGGUUUUGUAAAAAUAGAAAAAAAUUAUGAUAAUAUAACCUAUAUGACAACAUUUUCUAAAUUUGUUAAAGUAGCAAUUUUAAAAGUGACAACUCUUUUAUAGCCAUCUAAUAGCUCUAUGGUUACUGUUUGAUAGUCAUCUGAUAUCACUAAUUUUGUCAUAUUCGCGAUAUGCAAAAAAUUAGUUUCAUUAGCUGCUUUUUCUAAAUGUUUUUUCUGUUAUUUGAUGCAAUUUUUCUUUUUUGUUUUUGUGUUUUAUCCUUCAUCAAAAGGAUCAUCGCCCCUUCCUUGGAGUUUCUUUUCGGUCACUCUCCAAUGCUUUUUGGGUGAGUAUUUGGUGGUUUUUGUAUUUUGGUUAUGAGUUUUAAUACCCAUUAAAAAUUGGUUUUAAGGAACUUAUUAUAAGGUUCAUGAAAAGCCAAUUUUAGUUUAUUGAAGAACUUUUGGAAUUUAUACGUGGUUUUUCAAACAAGAUCGUAAUUUGGAGUUUCAACAUGAAUUGGCUAAGUUAUAUUGGAGAAUUAAAAUUGGUUUAUAAUAUAUUUAAAUUCUUACUUUUGCUAAAAUAUCGUAAUAGCACACUUUUCUUCUAACAUCUUUCCUUAUUUAUAUUAAUUCUAAUUUGGAUUAGUCAUAUUUAAACUCUUACAAACUUGUCAGAUACUACUUACCUAAAUUCUGAGUCUUUGCAUGUCUAAACACUUGGAUUCCAACUCCAUCAAACAGUUAACCCUCAGUGAUCUUGAUAUGCAUUAGUCUGAGAUCACCUCAAGAACCUCAGCAAAACAUUAUUUGUCUCUAGUCUCAACCGACAUAACCCCAAGAUAGCUCUGAGAUCCUUCAAUUUCAUCUUUUGUCUUCAAUAAUCUCUGUCAGACUCGCGUAUCCAAGAUUGCCCGAGAUUGUCCAAGAUUUUUCUAAUUUUCUUUCUCUUCUUCUAAUCUCAGUCGAACCAGCACUAAGAUUGUCUUGAGAUUACACUUCUUAAGCAUUUUGUAUUUCAUCUCGAUCGAACCAGUAUCGAGAUUGUUCUCCUCUGAGAUCAACCUUAUGUCUUCAAUCUUGUCCAAGACUCCACAUGAUAGGACGAGAUCCAACUCUAAACCCCUUCUGUUUUUCAUUUCAGUCUACUAGAGCCCUAAGAUCAACCUUCUUUCUUCAAAAUCUUCUAAAAACUCUUAACUAAAAAUUCUUAUUUACCAAAAUGAUCCUUCUAUUAGAUACUGGUCUUACAUAAUACUUCUUAAUUAAUACGUAAUAAUGUAUACUUGAUACCCUUAAGUUAAAGAAAAAAAAAAAACUUGACCUUCUUCUUCAAAACCCACCAUCUCUCUUCAAUAUGAAAAUUUACACCCUUAAUUUGUUCGAGAUUUGAAGGAUCGGUUUCUAGAAGUAGAUGGACAGAGAAGCUGAAAUUGGAUUAUAUUCACAAAUUUUAGUCUCCGUAUAUGACCCAUGCCCAUAAACCAUACCUACAUCAAUUUGCUUGUGUCAUGUACCCAACCAAUUUUAUUUGUUACGGUUGAUUCUCUGAGGGUGUACUAAUCCCAGUGUUAAAUUGAAAUCUUGUUUAGAAUUGCAAUUUUGGAGUUAUAGACGAGUAUGACCAUAUACCCAAAAAAAAAAAAAAAAUGGAGAUUAUCGCACAGGAAGAAUUUGGAAGAGAAUUGCAAUUGUUGGAGUUCUAAACAAGUAUGACCAUAUACAAAAAAAGAAAAAACCAAAAAACCAAAAUAGAGAGUAUCCGAGAGGAAGAACUUGGGAGAGGAUGAAGUAAUUAAUCGAUGAAGAGUUGAGAGAGAGAGAGAGAGAGAGGUGCAUGAGAACAAAGAAGGGAAUAAGAGUGUCGAUAUGGUACAAGCUCCAUUUUGAAUUAAAGAACCAACAAAACAUAAUUAUUCUAGAUUUUGCCAUAUCUCUAAAAAAAAAACAAAUAUGAAAGACUAACUUGCAAAAUCUCACUUUGAAAUUACUGCCCAUUGCAAUUUUCCUUUUUUUUAAAAAAAAAGAAACACUUGUACUAAUGUUCAUAUAUCAAUAGCAAAGACAUUUUUAACUUUUCAAUAUUUUUUUUAUUACUUAAAAAUUCAAGUGAUUUUUAAACGAAAUACCCACCGUUUUUUUUUUUAUUUUUAUCUAACACCAAUAGUAAGGUCAGUAAGGUUAUUUUUAAUUUUUUUUGUUGAAUGUUUUAUGAUAUUUUCUUACCUUUUGAAAACUUUAAGGGUAUUUUUUUGACCCACAUAACCAAUUUCAAAAACAUUUAUUUAUAUAUAUAUAAUUUAGCCAUAGAAUAUAUUUAUUCCAACUAGUUGAUACAUGAAUAACAAUAGUAUCAUACUAACUUUAGUUUUUUUUUUUUUGAAAAUACAUAUUUUAUGUUUUAAUUAGUGGAUGAUAGGAAGCAAGUUCACAAUAAAGAAUUAAGUCCAACAACUUCUCACUUUUGUGAUAUUUUAAAAAAUCAAUUACCCCUUUGCUUAUGUUUUUUUCCUUCUGUAAUGGAUAACAACUAUAAUAAUACUAAUGAAGAAAAAACAACAAAAACAUAUUCAACCUUACACCAUGGAGUCUUUCAUAUAAAAAAUUUAUAGAAAAGAACAAAGAUAUUAUAUACUUUGAUGAAGCAAACUAUAAUUUAUACAUUAAUAACACAAAAAAAAAAAAAAAGAAGAAGAAGAAGAAGAAGAAGAAGAAGAAAAGAAAAGAAAAGAAAAAAAAAACCCCAAGAUUCUUGAUAUCUUUCUCUUGCUUAAAAAAGGCAAGGAAAAAUUGAUGCAAAAUCUUGAAAGCCAUAAUGGCAACAAUCUAGGGUUAUAUAUCUAUGUUCCAAAGCUAUAAAGUUAUAAACAAGGCCAAAUAAUGACAUCUUGAUUAUGGCCCUUCACAAUGUAGUUGUUUCUUUUGAACUAAUUGUCUCUUUCCCUCGAAAUUUAUCAAACUAUUGUUGUAGCUUCUAAAAUAAUGUGUUCGUCCUUUUAACACAAAAAUGGCAGAAUUUUUGGGGACCGUGAGAGAUUCUACCACGGUCGGAGAUUCUCGGAUGACUCUAAAAGUUCUUCCAAAUAAUCAGAGCCAAGAUCUUCCAAAACAACCACAUUAUUCUCAGUCUUCCCAAUCCUAUCUAUCUCUUUGCUCUUUCUUCUCGUGAAUUUCUUCCUCAUCGAAUGUUUUCUCUUCAAAGCCACCACCGGAGAUCCACCGUCGCCGCCCUCACCCGCGGAGUUGAUCAUCUCCAUCUCCUUCAGCGAUUCCUGAACUCUUUCCACCGGAAAAUUAAGAACGGCGGCGGAACCUCUCAUCGAAAAAGCUGCUUGAUCGUAGGCCAAAGCGGCCGCCUCGGCACUGUCGAAUGUCCCGAGCCAAACCCUGACCCCAUUUCUGGUUGAGUCUCGUAUCUCCGCCGCGUAUUUUCCCCACGGUCGCCGGCGGACCCCUCUGUAGGACUUUCUCUUGUGGGGGUCUUCUUCUCCGAGGGAAUCGACCUCCUCGUCUUUGAUGGGAUCCUGCCGAGGGGAAUUCUCCUGUGGGUCCACAUAAGCCUCGGAGAUUAAGCUGUGAAGAAGCAUUUCGUCGGAGUCAUUCUGGUUGAAGGGGAGAGAGUGAUCGUUGAUUUGAAAACCUUCCCAUCGGAGGGAUUCAAAGGAGCUAAAGGAAGACUCGGGUGAGAGAUCGGAGUUUUGGGAGUGAAAGAAUGAAGAAUUCAUUGAAUUGUUAGAGGAAAUGAAGAAGGGGAAUUGUGGUGCAUGAAAGGAGAAGUCUAUUACUCUGUUUUUCUCGACAGAGAGAUGGCUUCUUCGUCGGCUAUAAAUAAAUACUAAAUGGCAGAGUAAAUUGAAAACAAAAAGAAAAAAUAAAAUAAAAAGAAAAAGCUUUUAUUUUAGUUGAUGUCUAUGAAUAGUUUCAUGUGGAUUUAAAUUUUUAUCAAAUUUUGGCCUCAUAUUUUCUAUUUUUAAAAUUGAAAACGGGGGUAUUUUUUUUUUUUUUUAAGUUAAGUUGAAAAUAUUUAAAAAUAAGCCUAAUAUUAUGUGAUAAUUAUAAAGAGGGUGAAAGCAAAAAAAACCCAUUCCUUGUUUACCCAAUAAACUAUAUGAGUUUGAAGGUCUAUUUACCCUUUUUAAUUAUUAAAAAUAAAUUAAAAUAUAGUAAAAGUUUAGGUUUUAUUGUGUUGAUAAACUUUUAUAGACAUUUUGAAUA
rnacentral:lncRNA from 1 species